AUUGUAGGUCGUGGAAGUGAAGGACGUGACUGAGUUAGAAAUUGAUGAGAUGGAACUUGGUCAUAUUGUUAGAUUGGAUUUAGUUUACCAUUCACUUAAUUUAAGUAUGCUUGGAGUUGUUGCAGUUAAAUAUAAGUGAUUAAGUUAUAACAGACAUGUUAUACGUCGCUAAAUCCUACUUAAUUAUGUUAUAUUCCAUAAUGUAAAUUUAUCACAAAGUGUAAAUUUUUUUCAUUUAUAAAAUAUAUGCCGUUAGUAUCAUGAAUAUGUGAUUAAGGAGAAGUUUAACCCAAAAGCGUUACAAGUUGUGGUCAAUGACGAAUAUUUCAGAUGUUCAUUUCACUAUGUUGAUAGAUGAUUAUUUUUAUUCAUACAUGGAUGGUUAUUUAAGUAACCACAUGUAAAAUAUAUUAAAUGUUCAAUUUACUAGGUGUGCAGAUGAUUGUUUUAAUUAAUAAUUGGAUAGUUAUUUUAUUGGAUUUGGUUUAAGUAUAAACAGUUAACAAAUGCGGGAUUUUCAGUUCUCUGUGUAACCGGAUGGUUAUUUUAUAUAUUACGUGGAUGGUUGUUUUGUUGGACUUGAAGAUUAUUAAACAAGGAGAAUUGAGAUAUCAUCACCUUAUGAUUAUUAACAGAAAAGAUAUUUUCCCAUUCUAAGUAACUUCCUACCUAAGACAAACUAAUGUUCAUUCUUAAUAUAACUGUUAGGCAUUAUAAAUGUUCUAAGAACAUACAUUAAAUGUUUUCAAAAGUGAUAACAUGCUAAUGACAUAUUAUGCCCAUGAUAUAAUAAAUGUUUCCAAAAAUAUUUUUAAAAGUUUAUUUUUAUUAAAAAAUAUUAAAAAAAUGUUUUUUUCUCUUUUAAAUAUAUUUAUUCUUAAAAUAAAAUAUAAGAAAAUUAUUUAUUUAUUUAUUUAUUUUUGUAGAUCCGCGGAUAUGCAGAUACCUACAUAAAAUCCGCAAUCCAAUCCUAUUAGUGUGCGAAUUCGGUCUGAAGAAAAUUAUUUAUUUAUUUAUUUAUUUUUGUAGAUCCGCGAAUAUGUAGAUACCUACAUAAAAUCCGUAAUCUUAUCAUAUAAGUGUGCAGGUCAGAUCCGAUCCGAUAGCCUUGCGAAUCGGAUCCAUAUCCGUAAUUUUCGGAUCGAAUUCGGAUAAAUACCGUGGAUAUGCGGUUCCGAUCCGAUCCAUGAACACCCCUAUGUUUAAUGUUAAAAGAAUACUAGAAGUUUAUCUAACUACUCAACAACAACCAACUUAUUUACGUGAGAACGGUUCUACGAGUUCAACUAAUAAGUCAUCGGUUAAACCAAUAAAUUAGUAAAACUAUAUAGUAUAUUAGUUAUAUAAUUUUUGCUUAAUGUCCAAAAAAGUUUAAAAAAUUGUAUUUAAAAAAAAAACACUAGAAGUUCAUCUAACUAUUUAAACAACUAGUAAGUCGUUAACAACUCGACGCUAAGCUCAUGAGCUCGAAGCAACUUUUGAGCUUUCACUAAGUCGAACUUGUUCUUGGUUUGGUUCGGCUUAACUUUACUUACUUAGCCUAAUACAACCUUUAUUAUUAGUCUUUCAUGUCCAAGCAAUCGACUUAUAUUGUGAGCUUUUAAUAAGUUAAAGUUGAGUUUGGUCUGGACUAACUUAGCUUGAAUUACUUCUAACUUUAAUUAUCAAAUUUUUAGAGCUAUUAGUCCGAACUUAUCAAUGUAAUCCGCACGCUUUUACAGUACACCAUGAAAAUGUACACGAGUCAUCUACUAGGUCAGUAGUAUAAAUAUUUAUUUUUUUGUUAAAUUAAGAAGUUUUAAGUAUAAGUAUUGUUGAAAUAAAUACAAAAGUACUUGUAUUUAGGAAAGAAGUUAUAAAUAGAAAGUUAUAAAAUUUUUUUAAAACGUUUGAUCUUUAAAAUAUUGAUAUAAUUUUAUUUAUUAUUAAUCUAUAAUGAUAAUUACAAAUAUGGAAAAUCAAAGGAUUAAAUGAUGCAAAUUUAUUGAUAAUAAAUAACAUUACGUUGCCACGAGUUAUAGCUCAAAUGGCAUAAUCUCUCUAUCAAAAUUAGUUUUAUUUGCUUAUUUCAUUUUAUUUUGGGGGUCAAGGACCCAGCAAAGAAUAAAAUCUAAUUACUAAAUAGAGCCUCUCACUCUUAUAGAAGAAACUUAAAAAACGUGAAGACAAAAUAGAUCAUGUCCAAGAUCUUUAAUAAUUGAUGCGAGAAUAGAAGGAGAAAUGAAAAGCACCGCAACCAUAGAAAAAGCCGGCGUGGAAGAUGGCGAUGACGAUGCAGCAACUCAUCAUCGUCAUGAUGCAUGCGCUGUCAGGUAAUUACAACGUUUCAUCUCCUUUAAUGACGCAUUCACAUUCUACAUAAAACAUAUUUUAUGAUAUUUUCUUUAAGAGAAGAAUAAGGAAAACAGGUAUCUUAGGAAGAAAACAUGGCCACCAACACUAUUCUUUUCCUUUUAAAUAUAGUAGAAGUAGAUAAAAACCAAGAAACACCCACUGUUUGAAUUGUGAUGUUAUUAUAUCUUCCCAAUUUGCACCUCUAAGCUAGGAAUCAUAAGCUACCUGUGAAGCUUUAAAUUUUGUAUGUUUUGUUUUACUUCUAUUAAUAUAAAAUAUAAAUGAUAAAAGAUAAAAAAAAAACUGCUUCCAAAGCUUGUUUUCAAAACUCUAUCUUCCUAUUUAUUUCCUCUUCUAAUUAUCUAAUAGGACUAUCUGCCUCAAACAUGCACUAUACAGUGAUUUGAAUAUGUUCAACUGAGCAUAUUUGAUAGACAAAAUAAAAAAUGGUUGAUUUUUUUGGAAACAUAAAUUAAAAUUGUAAACCUGUAAAAUACAAACGAAUUACACAAUUUUUAUAGCCAAUGGCGGAGCUUGAAAAUUUUUUUUGGAGGACCAUAUUAUAAUUUUUAUUAUUCUAAAAAUAAAAUAAUGCAUAAAACUAUAUGAGAAGCUAAAUAUAAUUUAGUGUUAAUUCUAUAAUGAUAUUGAAUUUGUAACGUUGAUUUAAAGAUAUGCCACUUGUUGUUGAUUUAAAAAUAUGCUAUUUGUUAUGUCAAAUAUGAUAGAAUAAAAAGUUUGAAAGAAUGGUGAAGAUAGACAUAAAACUCAGAUACAUAAGUUGAAAGUAUAUCAAUUUAAUCAAACAAGCUAAUUUUAUUUUCUUUAAAGUAGAAUUGCUGAUAUUUUUACAAAAACUUUGGGGGCCAUGGCCCCCUUGCCCACACAAAGCUCCGCCAUUACUCAUAGCAUUGUUUGUAAAAUCCAUGAAGUUUCAUGUCUCACUAUGUUAGAUACCAAUAGAACAAUAAUGGAGAAUUGCAAUUGCUGCAUAUAAUUACCAAAUUGGCAUGAAUCUUAACUACACCAACAUGCUUGUAGCAUAGCACUUCAUUCUUAUGUCAUGGAUCACCACAAUAAGAAGCUAUAGGAAACUACUUUCAUAUCAUAAAUAACUAUGUUAGCGAUGCAUACAACAUAGGGAAAAGCUCAGUAUACAAGCGAUUAGGGCUUGUAACUAUUACAAGUUCAUUAACGCCUAAUCCACUAAAACGCGUUGCAACUCCUACGUCACUUACACGCGCUAUACAAAGAUCCCGCGUUUGUAUAACUACCAAAUUUAAAAGAUUUGUUUCCUUCUUUGUUUUCCUUCUUUCCAAAUUUCAUCGUUCUUCUUCUCGCGCGUCUUCCCCUGGUUUUUCGAUCGUUCUUUUCUUCUCCUUUCUCAUUGGUUUGUUCUUCGUCAUUGACGUUAGUUCUUCUCUCUGUAACUCCAGCUUCGUUUUCUUUUCGAUUUUCUGGUUUCUGAAAUCAAAGUUUGAACUCGUUUUGAAGAUAAUAGAUGAUUCAACCUCAGAUUGUCAGCUGAAUCAGGGCGAAGUGGAGCACAAAUAGGAAGGAAAACGAGAUUCAGAAUCAAUUGAUUACAUGUAGCAAAGAGGAAAAAUAAAACCCUCAUAGCAAAGACUCAUUUGAUAGGAAUUAGAAUGAUUUUCUGCUAAAUUUUGGUCUUGUGGACAACAAGUGGCUUUCAGGUAGUGUUGGGUUAAAAUCUGCAGCAGAGGUGUAAAUUUAAUUUUUUAUCGGGUGUAUUUAUAGUCUGUGUUUGGGUGUAUUAUGCAGAUCUCUAUGCAGACCGUCAUAUAUGGGUUCCAAUCUAUUUGGAAUUCUGGAUCACCACUUCAUAUUAUAGUACCUGUAAAUCAGACAUUUUGAAUACACCAGAGAGAGUUUAAUUAAUUUUGGUCUUGUGGACAACAAGUGGCCUUCAGGUAGUGUUGGGUUAAAAUCUGCAGCAGAGGUGUAAAUUUAAUUUUUUAUCGGGUGUAUUUAUAGUCUGUGUUUGGGUGUAUUAUGCAGAUCUCUAUGCAGACCGUCAUAUAUGGGUUCCAAUCUAUCUGGAUCACCACUUCAUAUUAUAGUACCUAUAAAUCAGACAUUUUGAAUACACCAGAGAGAGUUUAAUUAAUUUUGGUCUUGUGGACAACAAGUGGCUUUCUGGUAGUGUUGGGUUAAAAUCUGCAGCAGAGGUGUAAAUUUAAUUUUUUAUCGGGUAUAUUUAUAGUCUGUGUUUGGGUGUAUUAUGCAGAUCUCUAUGCAAACCGUCAUAUAUGGGUUCCAAUCUAUUUGGAAUUCUGGAUCACCACUUCAUAUUAUAGUACCUAUAAAUCAGACAUUUUGAAUACACCAGAGAGAGUUUAAUUAUGGAAAAAAAAUUUACUUAUAAUUGGAUCAAAUAUAUUUACACCAUGUGUUCAAUUUCUUACAAGAGUAUAUAACAGUUACAUUAAUCAGUGACAAUAUCAUUAGAAUCUAUCUGACAAAAUGGACUCAAUAACAAUGAGGAUGGCCUGGACAGUCUUAUUGCAUCACUUCUCCUCGCUCAUAUUUCUGAAUUUCUCACUCAACAGAUGGGUUGCACACUUUAGGUCCUUGAUUUGCUGUAAACAAAGCAAAAUUAGAGUUAGAUAUAUUUCUAUUAUGAAAAACUGAUUUGAUCGAAGACAUAUAUUUGUUCUUACAUUUUUUUCAGCUUGGUUUCUGCCUGCCAUUUUUUCUGAAAUGAAAAAUACACCCAUAGAUAUGAGUCAGAUACACCCAUAGAUAUGAGUCAGAUACACCCAUAGAUAUCAGUCAGAUAUCACUCAAAUACACCCAAAUGAUUACAGAAAUACACCUAAAGGAUUACAGAAAAUACACCCAAACGGUUACAAGAAUUCACCCAAACCAAAAUUCGUUGAAGUACAUCUUAUGCAUAAUUCAGAACUCUUUCUCUUUCUCCUCCUCAUCUUCUGCUGCUUCUUCUUCUUCAAAAACGAUUUUACCAUAAAAAAUCGAAAAAAAAGAGAAAACAGAGAGAAAAGACGUAAAUGAAGAAGAAGAAAAAGAGGAAAACGAGGAAGAAGAACGUGCAGAAACGAAAGAAAAGGAGAAGAAGAAGAGUAAGAGGAAGAAGAACGUGCAGCAAGAAGAAGAAAAAGAAUUUUAGAAACCAUGAAAAUCGAAAAAAAAAACGAAGAAGAAGAAGAAUAAGAAGAAGAAGAAGAAGAAGAAGAAGAAGAAGAGGAAGAGGAAGAGGAAGAAGACGAAGACGAAGAAGAAGAAGAAGAGAAGAAGAAGAAGAGGAACCGUUUGAGUGGGGCGCGUGUAGUUACGCUCCAUUUAAAAUGAGUUAAUGCGCGUGUUAAUGAAGUUUGGGCUGAUAACUUGUAAAACUUGUACGGCCUUUUUACUUGUAUGUGUAGCAGGCUCCUACAACAUAUUGCUAUGUGAAAUUGAAGGUUAGGGCUUCUUCUAUAAUUCUGUUUUAUGUCACUUUGUCCCUCUGACAUGAAUAUAGCAUACAACUCUCGAAUCACAAAUAAACAGAACAAAAAAAUUGAAUGAAAUCAAUGAAAGAAAGGAAUACAACAGAUUCAUACAAAGGAGUGGAGGAAUACAACAAGAACAUAAAAGGAACAAAAAAAUAAAAUCAAUGAAGCAAUUUCAUAUCUGAGUCUGAGACUCCAUUGUUACUCUGGAAGUGGAGGAUGAAAGAGGAGACGGAGCACUACGGCGCUGAUGACCACUUGACGAGAGAAGAGGAGACGGGGAGGGAGAGCCUACGAACGACGCUGGGAGAUGGAUUGGACGGCAACGACGAUGGCUCGGCUAAGACCAACAGAGAGUAGAGUAGGUGGUGGUGAGUUAACAGGAAAAGGAAUUAGAAAUUAGGGUGACAUUGAGUUUAUUUACCGUGUGGUGAGUUUGGGGGUGGGGCUGAAUUCAGAGUUUGGUGAAUUUAGGGUUUUAUUAGUUGAAUUUAAAAAAUAUUUAUGGUAAUCAUAAAAAAAUAAUAAUUACUAUUAAACUUCCAUGUGGGGUAUAUUUAUAAUUUAUAUUUUGUGUCUAUUAAAAAAGUUCAAAAGGCUUGAGCUUACUAAAAACAGAUCCUAUUUUUCUCUCUCUCUCUCUUACUUCUCAAUUGACUCGUUUUUUUUUUAAAAUUUUUUUAUAUGAGACUCGAACCCGUUGACUCGNNNNNNNNNNNNNNNNNNNNNNNUCUGUCAAUAUUUAUUAUAUUUUAUAUUAAUAAUUCAAAUUUAAAAUUAAAAAAUUAGAAUUUAAAAUAUUUUAUUUUCAUUUUUGAUACUUUAAAUAACAAUUUUUUUUCAUGCCGCAUUAAUAUUUGCCGGUAACUCAGGAAGAAAUUUCAUACACUAAGGCCUGCCCAACCAAAUAAUUAUGGCUGCACAUAGAUCGGAUAAUAUCCAUAUAUUUGCGGUAAUUAUCUACAUCCAAUCCGAAUUUUGCGAAUAUUAUCCAAUCCGCAAAGUCAUCGGAUCGGAUCAGAUCCGAUGUGCACUAUGGUAGGAUCAUAUUGUGAAUUUAGCAGUGAUAUCCGUGGAUCCAAUUCGCAAAUCCGCAUAUCCGCACGUCUCAUAUAAAUAGUAUAAUUUAAGAAAGUAAACCCUAAUGUGAUAUGAAUUUUAGUGUGUUGUUUUAUGAAUUUUAUGAUAUCUUGUUUUUAAUUUUUUAUGUUGUACUUCAACUUAGAAUAAUUAAACUUAAAUCUUGUGUUAUUAUUUUUUUUGUUAUUCAAGAGAACUUUUAUUGAUAAUAUUUUAGGAGUAAAUAGGCUUAAACAGGUGAAAAAUGAAUUUUAUGGAUAUUUUUUUGUAAAAAUAGCCAAAUAGAAUCUUAAAAUAGUUCUUUUUUGAAUUAUGCGGAUAUACCCGAUAUACGGAUCGGAUCGGAUCUGACCCAAAAAAUGCGGAUAUCGUAUCCGAUCUGAUAAGUACUCGGUCUCCUUUUAAACCGCAGCGUUAAAAAGGGGAAAGAUACUGGAUAAAUUCGUCUUGGUAUAUAUGAAUACCCUGUAAAAAUAGUAGAGAAAAUCUUCAAAUCAUUUAUGGAGGAUUAGGAGAAACUACUUACUCCAGAAUUUACAUCUACCCUACUCUAUUAAGUUAUGCAAUGAAUGAGCAUAAAUUUGUUUGUAGUUAAAAUACAUUAUGGAGGAUAUGCAUUAUAUAAGAAUUAUAAAAUGAAAAAGUCUAAAGGACAAGCAGUUUAUUAAAAUUUGGUCAGAGUAUUUAAUCAGCAAAAGAAAAAUGAGUUAUUCUACACUAUUAGAUAUAAUCUUAUACCAUUAAAAAUACUAAUAAUAACUAAUUGAUGACUACAAAUUAUAAAACUUGCUAACCCUAAUACUCCUUUAUAAAAUUGCCGACAUAUUUUAUAGUAGUAAGCUAAAAAUAGAUGCAAAGAUGGAGAGGGUGGCUGUUCAAUAGUUUCUGUUUAAUAAAUGGCCUUGAUUUCUCCCAACCAAUUGUAGAGUAGAAGAAAAAAUGGUAUCUGAGAAGGCAUGCAUUAGGUAAUCUUUCACAUACUCUGCUAUAAACACACAAUACUAUAAUGCUUUUUUGAAGAAUCUGUGAAUGAACGUGAAUUGAAGCCCUUAACUUCCCUAUCUAUCAUGUGACUGCUAUUAAGUCUCAUAUCUAAUUGCACUUGUUGCUCCAUUCACGCCACACCGCUCUUAUUCACUCCAUUCACGUUUCAGUUUCAAUGCAUUCCUGUAGCAUCCUCUCCUCUCUAUAACCAACUCUUUUUGACAACCAUGCACCACUUGUUCUCUUUUUCUUUCUCUUUCUCUUUCUCUCAUGAAGGACAUGCCCUUCUUUCUCCUCAAGAACUCCUUUGGUGCCAAGAUGAAGAAAGGUUUCAGAACCUUGUGCAACAACGACGGUUCCACCUCCACACUCAACCAACACAACAACAUAAGCUCCCCUUCAAAGCAAAGCUCUCCAACACUGGAGGAUCUGAUACUGCAACUUGAAAUGGAGGAAGAGAUGGCGAGGAAGGCCAAGCUCAACGAAUACAGUUCCAUACGAAGGGGAAGGAUGUCUUGUGUGAACAACAGCGACAUCUUGAGGUCUGCGAGGAACGCGUUGAACCAGUAUCCAAGGUUUUCGCUUGACGGUAGAGAUGCUAUGUACCGAUCCUCUUUCGGAACAGUGGAAGGAAGAAGAUCGGUUUGCAGCGAGAGGAGUUUAGGGGGAAUGUUGAUGGAAGAAGAGAUCAAUGAUUUUGAAAGGGAGAUGUGUUUGCCAACAACGGUGGCUGGAGAGAGUGUCGUGUGGUGCAAGCCAGGGGUUGUAGCGAAGUUAAUGGGUUUGGAAGCAAUACCGGUUCCAAUUGGUGGAAGCAGAAGAAGAACGGACGAUAAUAAGAAGAGAGAAAAGAACAAGUUGACGAUGAUGAGUCGGAGGGAGAAUCUAAUGAGGAGAAGAUUCGAGAGGCAUCAUGAGUUGGAGAGAAAGAUAGCAAUGGAGAUGCAGCAGGGGUAUAAUGGGCAACAUUGUAUUAUGAAACCAGUUGAGUUAGAAGCACUGGCCGCCGGGGGUCCUGGAAUUUGGCAGCACCGCAGAUAUGGUUAGGACUUAUUAUUAUUAUUAUUAGGAUGCAUACGCAUACCAUACAUGUAUACUCUUCAUGCUAAUCUACUAAGCUUUAUUUAUUUAUUUUUAUGCUUUUUGGAUUAUAUGCAAAGUUCCUGACUUCUAGCUAAUAUUAUUAGUCUAUAAUGCCUCAAGGUUAAUAUUAUUAUGUUAUUAAAUCUGACAACUUGACGAGGAAGAUAAAACUUUUGAUAGAUGAAACCUCCUUUAUUUGAUCUAGCUACCGCUGUGAUUUUUAGCAAUUAGGUUUGGUAAAUAUUCAUUUUGGAGAGUUCAUAGUGUCAGAGCAACAGCCAAUAAAAAUAUUAUCUGUACGUUAAAAUUAGUUAUUAUAUAAUUUAAUUUAUUUUUNNNNNNNNNNNNNNNNNNNNNNNNNGUAAAUACAUGCCUUUAAUUUGUUAAGAUGUAUAAGUGCAAGACACGGUAAUCAGCUAUCUUACCUCAUACGGUAUUAGAUUAAGUUAGACUAAGCAACUUCUUUUAUUGCAUAAAUGAGGUUAUAAAUCCAAAGAAAAGAAAUGUGCUUAGUGUAUGUUUAUUUGUCAGAUUCUAGAAUCCAUCAUCGGUUAACAUUCGUUAAGAGCUCAUGUCUCACACUUUAGUUGAAUUCACUCAACAGGACAAGAUUUUAUUGUAAGCGUUUUUCAUUUUAAAUUAGCUUUUUCAAUAACUAAAUUCCUUGAUGAAAUUUAAAGGCAAAAAUAACUUACAAAAUUCUAUAAGAAACCUAAAUUGUUUAUUAUGGGAAUCUUCUUGUAUCACAACAAUAAAGUUUAAUUCCUCUAUCCUUACUUAUAAUUUUAUCAAAUUUUUAAUUGAGUUUCUAUAUUUUUUUUAAUUAAAUUUUUAUAACAUACUGAAUUUUAUAAUUAAGUCUACAAAAAAAAAUUUUCAAUAACAACACACAUAAAGUCAAAAACCUCAAUGACAACAAAAAUUUCAAUAACAACACACAUAAAGUCAAAAACCUCAAUGACAACGCCUGGCCCUUACUUUUUAAAUUCCAAAAAGAACCCUCAAUCUACUCUUUUCCCUUCUCGUCUCCAGCAUCUUGCUCUCAUCCAUCCCUCUUUGCCUUGCAUCCAGUUUCUCUCACCUCUAGCCUCAUUUAGCUCCAGCUCGCCGCUGCCUCUUCUGCCUCGCAUCUAGUUUCCCUCGUCUCACCUCUAGCCUCACCGAUUCUAAAAGAGACUAGCAACGGAAACAACACAAAUAUUCAACACAAGAAUAAUAUGAAAGCACUCACAACACAAUAUGGCAGCAAUUAAGAACAAGUAAAUAUAGCAAGUAAAGCAAUAACAAGAACACACCGAAAUUAUAACGUGGAAAACCCUUUCAAUGUGAGAGAUAAAAACCACGAGUUGUCCAGACCAAUAAAAUAGCUCUACUAUAAUUAAAUAAGGUACAAGAGAGUCUCAAACAAAGCACAAAUCGUGCAUAUAACCAGCCAAAAUAUCAAAGCACCAAAGCUUACAAAUGAGAAGCAAGAAGAUGAAAAAUACCCAAAAAACAGAGCUGCUGUUCGAAGCCUAUUUCUCCUUCUGAAGACUUUCAAUAAAAAGCUUCACCGUCCAUAAUAAAGAACAAGAUGAGAAAAAUAUGCAAUUUAAAUUUUACAUCGAUCCAACGGUGAAAGAAUGAGAAACUCCUGUUCAAAGAUUGAUGCUUUGUGUAAAACUGGGAAACCUAUUUUCUCUCUUGCGAAGCCAAUUUUUCCCACUGCAAACUUCUAUUCAACAUUUGCACCCUCCAUAAUAAAGAACAAAAUGAUAGGAACACGCAUUUUAAAUUUCAAGUCAAUCCAACGGUGAACGAAUAAGAAACUGCUAUUUAAAAUUUGCUGCUCUGCAUAAAAACGGGAAUUCUAUUUUUUCUCUUCUCUCUCACUUUGGUGGCUAUACUCUCUACUUCAAAAUUGACACCAAAACCUGAUUAGGGUAGAGAGAUAAGGGUGCAAGAAUAUACCCCCAAAAAUUUGGACUUGGGCCUCACAAAGGAGAGAAAAAAGCCCAACAAAUCCCCCCUUCUCGACUAGGUGGAGGCCCUCGCCAUUCCGGCGAUCAAAACAACAUGUUUCAAUCUUAUCUCUUGACAAUGCUUUCAUCAUCAUAUCAGCACAAUUAUCAUCAGUGUGACCUUUCUCAAGUUUCAACGACUUGGAGUCUAACACAUCUCGUAUCCAGUGAUACCUAACAUCAAUAUGUUUAGAUCUUGCAUGAAAAAUAGAAUUCUUGGCAAGAUGAAUAGCUCUUUGACUAUCACACAACAACACAUAACGGUCUUGCUUUAAAACAAGUACUACAAGAAACUUCUUCAUCCACAACAAUUCUUUACAUGCUUCAGUUGCUGCAAUAAACUCUGCAUCUGUAGUAGAAAGUACAACACACUUCUGUAAUCUUGACUGCCAUGAAAUAGUUCCCCCUACAAACUUGACCAAAUAACCUGAAGAAGACUUUCGAGAAUCAAUAUCUCCUGCUAUAUCUACAUCAAUAAAGCUAACUAGCAAAGAUUUCUCACUACGAAAACUCAAAAUCAAGUUAGUUGUACCUUUGAGAUAUCUCAUAAUCCAUUUAACAGCAUUCCAAUGUUCUUUACCUAGAUUAGAGAGAAAACAACUCACAGUACCAACCGCAUGAGCAAUGUCUGGUUUAGUAUACACCAUAGCAUACAUCAAGCUUCCAACAACUGAGGCAUAAGGAAUUUCAUCCAUUGCUUGCUUCUCCUCAUCAGUGGUUGGACACUACUUGUCACUCAACUUAAAAUCAUGUGCAAAAGAACUAGCAAAAUAUUUGGCAUCAUUCAUACCGAACCUUUGAAGCACCUUCUUUAUGUACUUCUCCUAUGACAAAUAAAGCUUCUUGGAAUCUUUAUAACGAGGAAUAGUCAUGCCCAAAAUCUGUUUGGCAGGACCCAAAUCCUUCAUAGCAAAGAACUUGCUCUACUGUUUCUUCAACUCAUUAAUCCUCAAAUCAUUAUUGCCCACAAUCAAAAUAUCAUCCACAUAAAGCAAAAGGAUGAUAAAAUCAUCAUCAGAAAAUUUUUGCACAAAUACACAAUGAUCUGAAGUUGUCUUACGAUAACUAUGCUCCCCAUAACAGAUCCAAAUUUCUUGUACCGAUGUCUUGGAGCUUGCUUCAUCCCAUAAAGACUCUUCUUAAACUUGCAUAUAAAAUCUUCCUUUCCUUUAACAACAAAGCCCUCCGGUUGCUCCAUGUAGAUUUUUCUAUCCAAAUCAACAUGAAGAAAAGCUGUCUUCACAUCCAUUUGCUCAAUCUCCAGAUCAAGAGAAGCUGCUAAUCCAAGCACAGUACGAUUGGAUGACAUCCUCACAACAGGAGAAAAAAUCUCCUCAUAAUCAACACCUUUUCUCUGACUAAAGCCUCCAACAACCAAUUUGGCUUUAUAUCGAGGCUUAGAAUUGUGUUCUUCAUUCUUGAUUUUGAAUAACUAUUUGUUCUUCAAAACUCGCAUACCCUUCGCUAGCUUCACCAACUCAUAGGUAUCAUUCUCAAGCAAAGACUUUAUUUCUUCUUGCAUAACUUCAAGCCAUUGAGUUUUGCUUUCAUCUUCAACAGCCUCUCCGAAAUAUUCAGGUUCUCUCCCAUCAGUCAACAAAAUAAACUCAUGUGGAGAAUACCUUGACGAAGGCUUCCUCUCUCUUGUAGACCUUCUAAGUGCAUUUGCAGGAAUUUCUAAAGCUGGUUGUUCAUCUUGAUCAUCAUCACCAACUUCAUGAAGUAUCAGAUCAACUGUUCCAUCUUCACCUGCACUUGUAUCAUGCUCAUUAUUUUGAAUUUCUAAAGCUGGUUGUUCAUCUUGAUCAUCAUCACCAACUUCAUGAAGUAUCAGAUCAACUGUUCCAUCUUCAUCUGCACUUGUAUUAUGCUCAUUAUUUUGAAUUUCAACUCUACCAUCUUUCACCAUAGCCAUAGAGGGAGUAAUAUCCAAGUCAGAAAAAUCAUCACUAGGCUGAACCAUUGGCUUCUCUGCAUUAUCAACAUCCUUCAAUGUUUGGUCUUCAAUAAAGACAACAUUUAUACUCCGAAUCACCUUCUUACUAAUAGAAUCAUAAAACCUGUAACCAAAUUCAUCCAUGCCAUAGCCAAUAAAAAUACACUGCUUAGUCUUUACAUAAAGCUUGGAUCUCUCAUCUUUAGGAAUAUGAAUAAAGGCUUUACAUCCAAAGACUCUUAAUGAUCAUAAGAAACAUCUUUACCUGACCAUACCUUCGCUGGCACUUCAAAUCCGGUUCAAGACAUGAACAACAAUGCUCAAAGCUUCACCCCAAAAGGAUUUUGUCAAUCCAGAUUGUGACAAUAAGCACCUAGCUCUUUCAACUAAUCUUCUGUUCAUCCUUUCAGCCAAGCCAUUCAACUGAGGAGUCUUCGGAGGAGUCUUCUGAUGUCUUAUACCAUGCUCUUUACAAUAAGCAUCAAAUGGACCUGAGUACUCACCACCAUUAUCGGUACGAAUGCAUUUCAACUUCUUUCCAGUUUCUCUUUCAACAGAAGCUUGAAAUUGCUUGAAUACAUUCAAAAUUUGAUCUUUGGUCUUCAAAGUGUAAACCCAUAAUUUCCUAGAAUGAUCAUCAAUAAAGUUUACAAAAUAAAUAGAUCCUCCAAGUGUUCUUGUCUUCAUCGGCCCACAUACAUCAGAAUGCACCAAGUCAAGUAUCUCCGGCUUCCUUGAAGGUGGAUUGCUCUUGGAAAAAACCCUGUUUUAUUUUCCAGCAAAGCAAUGGUUGCACUUUUACAAAGCAACCUUGCAACCAGAUAAAAGAUUCCUCUUGAAUAACAUAUUCAUGCCUUUCUCACUCAUAUGACAUAAUCUCUUAUGCCGUAAAUUAGUUUCAUCAACAAACUCAGCAGCAUUAACAACAUCUUUCACAAUAUUUGCUUGAGUUAAAUAAAGAGUAGAGUAUCAUAUACCUCUAGCAACAACCAUGGAAUCCUUAGUGAGCUUCCAACUAUCACGAGAGAAUGAGCUAUCCAAGUCUUCAUCACACAACUUACCAACAGAAAGUAAGUUCAACCGAAUAUUUGGAAUAUGCUUCACACAUUUCAAAGUCAACUUGGUACCGUUGGAGGUUUCUAAGCAAACCUGUCCAAUACCGGCACAUUUUGCAACACCUUGAUGAGCCAUUUUCAUAUCACCAAAAUCACCAAGAGUAUAAGAUGUAAACAAAUCUCUCCUAGAUGUAACAUGAAUAGAAGAACCAUUAUCAAUCAUCCAACUAGUGCUAUUAUCAACAAUAUUAACAGAUUCAAACUCCUCAACAAGAAGAAAAUCAUCAUGAGUUACAUUGACCUUGUCUUCAUUGCUACCACCAUCUUUAUUUGUGCUCUUGUCUUUACUUGCCUUGGCUUUCUCCUUCUUUAGCUACCAACAAAAUUUUUUCACAUGUCCCUUUUGACCACAAUAAUUGUUGAGUUAAGAAAUUAACUAAUUUCAAUUGAUGAUGACAAACAUUAUUUUAUUGGGUUAAUCAUCCAAUUAGUUUUUAAUUAUGUUUGAUAAAGUGAUGCGGGCCAAAAUUAAAAGAAACAACAGCCCAAAUGCAAGAAAACAAAAACCAUUGCUGGUGGGUUGUCUAAACAAAGAAAGCCCAAAGAAUUCAAAGCAAAGAAUUCAGCUGGGCUAAAUGAAACAAAUCCAACACAAGCCCAAGAUAACUCCAUUCAAGCUAAGCCUUCCAAUACACCUCACAAGUUUGCUUCGAUCAGAACCUUAGAGAAAAAGAGAGAGAAAGCUCCGUUCUUCUUCUUGCUCAUUUCAUCAAAGAAAAAAGAAAUAGAAAGCUUAAUUAAAGAAAGCAAAGGUCUAAUCACCCAAAUCAAACCCAUUUAAGCUAUGUCAGAAGUUAAAGCUGAUUUAUUUCCAUUUGCAUGCAAUUUACUUUCUUCACUCCUCCAACUCUCUACUACUCCAAUUUGGGAUAAAUAGAGAAAGUGAUUUCUGAUAAUCACUGCUGUGAUUCAAAGGCCAAAAUAGUUUUUUGGGGACAAAGCUCUAGCUCAAGGGUUCAGAUCUGUGUUUACCACUAAACAACUUUUUUAUUGCUACCCUGAGGUUUUCGGUCAAGCAAAAAGGCUCAGAUUCAAAAUUUCUAAUUUAGGAAUUGAUUGAAAAUAGUGAAAUGGUAAGUUGGUGAAGCACACAGCUCGAGGAGUUGACUUGGAAGAAGGCAACUCAACAACAUUGAAAGAGGUACAAAAGAAAAUUUUUCUUCUUUCUGAAGACAAGGAGAGAGAACCAAAUUUUGAGUUUGUUCUGAAGAGUUUCUCUAUGAAGAGUUCAUCAACUUUGGAUAGUAUUUUCUAGUAAAAGAAGCAUUCUGCCAAGAUGAAGAACUUAAUCAGAGUUAACUGAAUUCGGUUCAACUUAUAGCAACAGAGGCUGUUGGAGAAUCAAUCUCCUUCAUGUUUUACAGUGUGCAUUUCAUUUUCAAUGUAUAUCUUUCUGUAAUUUCUUGAGUGGAAAAAGGCUGAAAGAGAGGAAUCAAGAAAAAGCCUAUGAGUGAUAAAAGACUGAGUGAUACACUUGAGAGAAAAGUCUAAAGUGAUUUCAGAUUUCUUUAGGUUGUUUAUUAAGUCUUGUGUCUUGUACCUGUGAGGUACCCCUUUCUAAGUUGGGUUAGCACUUAGAGUGAAGAGUUAGGUAUUAGCAUAACUAAGUCAAGUUAGGUUAGAACUUGAGAGAGAAAUGAUUGUGUGAAUCCUAUGAAUUGGUGUAUGUAAUACUUUAACUAUAGUGAAAAUUUCACCACAGUUGUGGUAGAGACUGGAUAUAGGUUGCAUUGCACAAGGCAAUUGAACCAGGAUACAUGCUGGUGCCAUUCUUCUUCUCUUUCUCAAUAUUUUGUUUUCUGCUAUUUAUGAGACAAAACUAAAUUGUCUCAUAAAAUUUUUGCUGCACAGUUCAAACUGAUUCUAAGUAAAAGUUUGCAAGCAAAGGCAAAAUUCAUUAAAGUAAAAGAAGGCCAUAGAUUCAACCCCUCUUCUCUAAGCCUUCUACAACCUUCAAUUGGUAAUCAGAGCCAAGGUCUCAAGAAUUAAGCUUCACCGCCUGGAGCAAAGGUCCAAUGGCGAACAACUUAAGCAUAAUCACAGCUGCCUACACUCUAACAGAAGGCCAGCCAAACAACAGGCCUCCCUUCUUCAACGGGAAGAACUAUGCCUACUGAAAAGAGAGGAUGUGGAUCUUCAUCCAAUCCAUUGAUUACAACAUAUGAAAAAUUGUUGUAAGCGGCCCCAAGAUUCCAAUAAAGACAAGUGCUAAUGGAGUGGUGACUCUAAAAGAAGAAACUGAAUAGACAGAUGAUGACAAGAAGAAAGUGGAGCUGAAUGCUAAAGCCAUCAACCUACUUCAUUGUGCUAUCAGCUUUGAAGAGUACCGAAAUGUGUCUAGAUGCAAGACAGCCAAAGAAAUUUGAGAAAAACUCUAGGUUACACACGAAGGCACUAAACAAGUCAAAGAAACAAGGAUUGAUAUGCUGCGAAAAGAAUACGAGAUGUUUAACAUGAAGGAUGGAGAAAGUAUUGAUAAAGUAUUUGAGAGAUUCUCAAUCAUAAUCAACAACCUCGAUGCUAUGGGCACAACCUACUCAGAACAAACCCUAGUGAGAAAAAUCCUUAGAAGCCUCACAAAGGAAUGGGAAACAAAGGCCACUGUCCUAGCCGAAAGUAAUAAUCUAAGUCCCAUAACAUAUGAUGAGCUGAAAGGGAAACUCCUUGCCUAUGAAACCACACACACAAACCAAGACUUAAAAAAAAAGGGAAUAGCCCUUAAGUUAAGAGUUGAAUCAAAAGAAAGUGAGUCUAGUGACCAUUUUUUCAGAUGAUGAACUUGUAUUUUUUGCUAGGAGACUUAGAAGACUAAUGAGGAACAAAGGCAAGUACAAUGGCUCAAGCUCAAAGGAGUACAAGAAGGACAUGAGCAAAGUAAUUUUUCACAACUGCAAGGAGGCUAGGCAUCUCAAGUACAACUGUCCGAAACUCAAAAAGGAGGACAAAGAAAAGAAAGAAAAGAAGAGAGUGCUCAUGGCAUAUUCGGAGGACCUUGAGAACGAUUCGAAUGAGGAAGAAGACUAUGAAUGCGAAGCUCAAAUCUAUUUUAUGGCUAGUGAGGAUCAACUUGAUGAGGUAAAUUACUAUGACUUGUCCAUAGAUAAUUUACAUCUUAUCAUAGAUGAUCUCACUCUAAAUUCUAAAAAAACUGCUGAACAAAUACAAUAAAUGCAAAUCUAAAAAAUAAAUACUAAAAGCUGAAAAUAAUUUUUUGAGAGAAAAGGUGAAGGAAACUGAAUGUGCUUUAGACAUUAUUGAAGAAAACAUAUUUCUGAAAUUUGAACUUGAGAAACUAAAAGGAAAGCACAUUAUGGAUCCUUCAUAAGAGCUUAUUGCUGAAGAUGAAAGAUUAAAUGAAAAUGAUUAAAAGAUUGAAUAAUGAUUUAGCAAAAUUUGCUCAAAGUUCCAGCAACUUGGACAAAUUACUUGCAAAUCAAAUACCAUUGUUUGAAAAAUAUGGGUUAGGAUAUGUGACAAAAGAUAAUGUAGUUUUUGAUAAUCUUUCAACAAAAUUUAUAACCUCUUCUUCAAAAACAAAAUCUAUCAUGAAUAAAUUUGGUCUGGUACACGUUCUCUCCUAUGAAGAGGAAUUUGAAAAAUAUUAUUUUAUGAAACUGCAUCAACUUCAAAGACUGAACCUGCAUCAAACAAGUCGGGUUUAGGCUAUGUAUCCAAAAAUGAGAUUGCUUUUGAAAACUCACAAUUUCACGAAAGAACUCCUCAUUCAAGAAGUUUGCUUACAAAAAUUUUGGUCUGAAUGCGUUUGCAAAAAAAAAAAAAAAACAGUAAUAACAAACAUUUUGUUAAAAGAAAUGCCCACUUUUCAAAAAACACAAAACCUCGGUCAUUUAAUCAUUUCCAGCAUCAUAAAUACUGAAAGAUGACCAACAAAUUCUUUUGAUAAAAUUUGAUGACCAACAAAUUCUUCAUUCAAAACAUUCUUAUUGGCAAGAUCCAUAGAGAUUACACUAUCAGGAGUAGAAUUGGACAAUAACAUUCUGAGAAUUUUUCACGAGUUUGAUAAGGAGUUAAGAAGUAACAAUCCUUGAACCUUUUCAUCAAACUUGAUAUCCAUGAAAGAUAACUAGUUCAUAAUUCUUUGGAAGUUAUUCAAGUGAUCUGUCAUUGAUAUCUCAUCUGUAUAUUUCAAAGCCAACAACUGCAUGAUAAAAAAUAUCUUGUUAUUCCCAGUUUUUCAAGCAUAGAACUAUUCAAGUUUAAUCCAAAGAGUUCGAGCAUGUGUCUCUCCAAUAAUAUGGUUCAACACAUUAUCGUCAAUCCAUUGCCUAAUAUAUCCACAAACUUGUCUAUGCAACAAAGUCCAAUCAUCAUCAGAUUUAUCAUUAGGCUUCUCUGUACCAAAAAUUAGUUGACAAAAAUUCUUAACAUAAAGCAAAUCUUUCAUCUUUGACUUCCACAAAUCAUAAUUAGGACCAUUCAGAGUAAUCAUCCUACUAGUAUUAGUGUUAGCUUCCAUUGUUCAUAAAAUCACAAGCCUAAAAAAUACGAACAAGCUCUGAUGCCAAUAUAAAAGAGCCUAGUAACGGAAACAACACAAAUAUCCAACACAAGAACAAUAUGGAAGCACCCACAACACAAUAUGACAGCAACUAGAAACAAAUAAAUAUAGCAAGUAAAGCAAUAACAAGAACACACCGAGAUUUUAACGUGGAAAAUCCCCUCAAUGUGAGAGGUAAAAAUCACAAGUCAUCCAAACCAAUGAAAUAGCUUCACUAUAAUCAAAUGAGGUACAAGAGAGUUUCAAACAAAGCACAAAUCGUGCAUAUAACCAGCCAAAACAUCAAAGCACCAAAGCUUAUAAAUGAGAAGCAAGAAGAUGAAAAAUACCCAAAAAACAGAGCUUCUGUUCGAAGCCUAUUUCUCCCUCUGCAGACUUCCAAUAAAAAUCUUCACCGUCCAGAAUGAAGAACAAGAUGAGAAAAAUCUGCAGUCCAAAUUUUUCAUCGAUCCAACGGUGUAAGAAUGAGAAACUUUUGUUCAAAGAUUGCUGCUCUGUGUAAAACCGAAAAACCUAUUUUCUCUCUUGCAAAGCCAAUUUCUCCCGCUGCAGACUUCCAAUCAAUAUUUUCACCGUCCAAAAUGAAGAACAAGAUGAUAGAAACACGCAGUUCAAAUUUCAAGCCAAUCCAACGAUGAACGAAUGAGAAACUACUAUUUGAAGUUUGCUUCUUUGCAUAAAAACGAGAAUUAUGUUCUCCCUCUUCUCUCUUACUUUGAUAGCUAUACUCUCUACCUCAAAAAUUGGCAUCAAAACUUGAUUAGGAUAAAGAUAUAAAGGUGCAAGAAUAUACCCCAAAAAUUUGGAUUUGGACCUCACAAAAGAGAGAAAAAAAGUCGCAGAAUGCAAAGAGAGAAUGCAAAGAGAGAGAGAAAAAGAGAGAAAUGAUAGAAGUGAGUGAAAGAUAUAUUCGACCUCCGUUACUCGUUGCCUUUGGAUUAUGGACUAGUUCUCCUUAUUUCUAGUAUGUACGUUCUAUUUUUGCUUUGUUUCGAUUUUGUUUUUAGUGUUCUAUUUCUGCUUUGUUUGAUUUUGCUUUUAAAUUGGUUCUGCUUUUGUUCACUAAUCAUGCCAAAAAAUUUUAAUUCUACUAACAAAUUUUUAUUAUGAAUUCUGAUUAUGUAUUUUGUUUGUAAUUAACUGAUUAUGCUAUGGUAAAAAUUUUAUUUUUGAUUAUGCUAAAAUUUAAUUAGGACAAAAAUUCUAAAUCUGGAUUUAUGGAUUGUGAAAAAAUUUUUGCUUCAUAUAUGGUGUGCAAGAAGAGGAAUCUGCUAUAUAUAUGUCCCCUUCUCCGUAUGCAGAUUUGGGUUCGUGAAUAGUGUUCAUUAAAAUCCCAAAGAUACACGUAAGUGUUCUUGCGAUUGAGACUGCUAUAUAUCAUGUGCCCAUCUAGCGAUAGCAACAGAGAAUCGGACAGCAUUUUUAUUUACACAAGAUUCCUGUUCUAGGUUCUUUGUUACAAAGCUAAAGAAUCAAGAUUCUUAGCAAAUUCCUUACAACUUACUACAAGCUAGCUAACAAAAUAAUUAUUAAAGUAUAUUAAUUAUUUCCCCAAUAUUUAUAAAUAUUUUUCUAUAUAUUAUUAAUGUUACUGAAAUAAUGAUAAAAUAUUUAGAUGUGAUUUUUCUUGCGCGUUCCUUGGUGUUACCGGGAAAAGUAUUGCAUGAAGUUGACGAGUUCAGAGUAAAUUAUUUAUCGCCCGAAGAUAUAAACCAUCCAUAAUUAAUUCUAGCGGUUAGAUUAGGCAGUGUCCCAAAGAUAAAGACAAGGAUAAUAUUUAAUUCUAAAUAAAGCAUUCGUUCUUAUCUGCUUUUGUCUUUUUGUUAGUGCUAUGGAUAAACUAUAGAAGAGGCAGGUCCGAAUACGCCAAAUCAAUGUGUGAAAAAUCAAAUUAAAUAAAUAGUACUGCAUAACAUUAGUCAGGAUUUUGAUAAUUACAAUGACUUAUUCAACCUCCUUUUUAAUAAAGAUUAAAGAAAGAAAUGGGUUGUACAUAUAUAAUAUAAUAUAAAAAGAGGAACCCGGUGGGCCAUAAGCUUCAAUUAUUGUGAUAAUAUGCAAUUAGGAUAAUUAUGAGAGUAAUUGUUGACUAAGAAAUCAGAUAUUCAGAAGAAGAUCUGAAGCUUCAUUUUGCAGUAGAGUUACAUAUUCAAUUAUUCUUACGCAGUUGGAAGAAGAGAUCGGAGAUAAAUUAAAAGGAAACACACGUUUAUUAACAUAUAAGAUAGAUAGAUAAACAUUAUUUCAACUCAUAAGCAAGUUGAUGAUGAGGGUGGCUAGAUCUGGCUAAAACAGAGGAGAUUAUUAAGUAGUAGGUAAAGUUAAAUACCACUUAAAACAAGACAUAACAGUGCACUCAUCAUAAUCAGCAUAAAAAACUAGAUAGAUUAAGACCACAGACCAAACAAGCAGACUAAAAAGCAAAGGACGCUAUUUACAUGCAAGACCUUGACCACGGAAGACGCUGAUCCACUCCUUAGCGGUGCUUGCUCCUUGUCUCACCACUGUAGAGCCUGCAUGCCAUGGACACAUGAAAAUCAAAUCAGUUGGAAAGUUGAGAAAUAAUAAUAUAGCAGUUAGCUUAGGGUAUUAUUACCAGUCAUAGACAGUAGGAGAAUUGGGGAGUGGUUUGUCAAAGUAAUCAGAACCGAUGGUCUUAGUGGCGGAGUUGCUGCCAGGAUGGAAGACGCUCCUCCAAACGUUGUCAGGUUUACGCGGCGUGGCAGAGAGCGGUGUUGUUGGGGUCCCAGGGGUUGUAGGUGUGGCGGGCAUAGACAUGGAUCUCUGGUACUUGUUAUCAGUUUCAGAUGUUAUGGCUUUGAUGUUCAAGGGCUGGGAGGUGGUGAUCUUCCUCAGCUUCCCCAGCCCGCGAUCUGGUUGCGGCCCUGCCACCACGUCAUCCCACAGCUUCUCUAACAGAACCAUCUUCACUACUCUCAAUCUCCUCUCUCUCUCUCUCUCUGCGGAUUUUCCACUAUUAUAUAUGCCAACAACACUCUGCCACUUAAAAUAUCUCAAAUUACUCUUAUACUACAGUCCGACAUAAAUAUAUAAAAAUAAUAUUAGGAGAUUAAUAUUUUUAAUAAAAUAAAAGUGAAUAUUAAUUAUUUAACAUUUUUUUUAAAUUUAUUCUACAAUUUUAUUUAUUUUAAUGCUUCGUAUCGGUGACAAUUGUAAUAUUGUUUUGUCGGGAUAUGGAAUGAAUAAUGAUAGUACUGUACUGACUAUACUGAGAAUAGUUAGAGGGGAUGAAGGAGAAGAAAGUGGAUAAGGAUGAAGAGUGGGUAAGAUGUAAUUUUAGUUUCUCAUUUGUCCUAUUCCGGUGGCAAAUUACUUUUUAGCCCCCCAAGGCCCACCCACACUUUUAUUUUGCGAUCUGGUAGCAAAUACCAACUACCAAGUAGUAAAUAUCUAAUAAUUUUUAAUUAAGACUUUUGGUAUUUGUAACCAUUAAAUAGUUAUUAAUGAUGAUUUUAAUAGUGGAAGAUUGAUGUGAAAUUUUAUUCAAUGGUUCAUUUUUUCUUACGGUUACAUACUGACCAAAAUUUAAAAAAGUUACUGUCUCCUAGACUUUUUCUUUAAUUAAUAUAUGUACACUAAAAAUUAAAAAAUGAAGUUUUUCACAUAUUUAUUAUAUUUCUCAUCAUAAAGAAUAUAAGAUCAAUUUUAAUGAGAUGUUUUUUUGGUAUUAUUUUUGACAUAUACAAUAAUUGAAUUAGUUUAAAAUUAAAAUUUACAUUGGAUAUAAUAUCUAAAAUAAGACAGUAUCAGUAAAAAGAGAUCGUAUCAUUUUAAAAAAAGAUCAAUCCAAUACUGUUAUUUAUAUAACACAUAAAAUAAAAUAAUUAAAAAUUAUAUAAAGUUUAAAUUGANNNNNNNNNNNNNNNNNNNNNNNNNNNNNNNNNNNNNNNNNNNNNNNNNNNNNNNNNNNNNNNNNNNNNNNNNNNNNNNNNNNNNNNNNNNNNNNNNNNNNNNNNNNNNNNNNNNNNNNNNNNNNNNNNNNNNNNNNNNNNNNNNNNNNNNNNNNNNNNNNNNNNNNNNNNNNNNNNNNNNNNNNNNNNNNNNNNNNNNNNNNNNNNNNNNNNNNNNNNNNNNNNNNNNNNNNNNNNNNNNNNNNNNNNNNNNNNNNNNNNNNNNNNNNNNNNNNNNNNNNNNNNNNNNNNNNNCUAAAUCAUAAAUACUAAACUUUAAAUAAAGCAAGUUUAAACUGUUUUUUCUUUUUCUUUUUAUCAUUACUGUUAAUUUUUUUAUUUUUUAAAAAUAGAUAACAAAAAUAAGCAUUUUUUUGUAAGCCAAUUCAAAUCCACCCAAAACAGACGCAAAGUGACAAAACUAUUUCGGCUUCAACGGUAAAUAAUCACUUAAAAUUAAGAUUAAGUUGGAGAGUUCUUGCUUAUAUACAAUGAUAAUUACAUUGGUUAACGCAAUGACAUUGGUGCGUCAAAGCUCCUGUGCCGGAUGGUUUUCAAGUUUUUUUCUUCAAAGAAUAUUGGGAUAUGGUAGGUCAUGAGGUAUGGCGUACUGUUCAGAAAGCAUUCUUAGGGGAGACGUUAAGCCAUUUUUUGUUAAAAACUUUGAUUGUUCUUAUCCCUAAGUGCGACUCUCCAACUAGAUUGAAGGGUUUUCGGCCAAUAAGCCUUUGUAAUGUAAUUUAUAAGCUAGUGACUAAAGUGCUGGUUAAUAGAUUACGACCAUUUUUGGAUGAGAUUGUUAGCCCAACUCAGGGAGGAUUUAUUCAUGGUAGAGGAGCACCUGAUAAUAUUAUUGUCACCCAAGAAGUUCUUCACUUUCUUAAGCGGACAAAGUCUAGAAAAGGAGCUAUGGCUUUUAAGAUUGAUUUAGAAAAGGCUUAUGAUAGAGUUGAUUGAAAUUUUCUUGAGCACGCUCUUGAAUCUUUUGGCUUUUCUUCUCUAAUUAUUCGGCUUGUAAUGAAUUGUGUUCAGGCCUCAAAUCUUUCCAUCUUUUGGAAUGGGAAUAGAUUGGACAGCUUCCAACCUCGCAGAGGGCUCAGGCAAGGAGAUCCAAUUUCUCCGUAUUUAUUUGUUUUGUGCAUGGAGAGAUUGGCGUGCUUCAUUUCCAAACAAGUUGACGAGGGUAUUUGGGAUGGUGUGGCUGUUUCUAGAGGGGGACCUAGAGUUUCUCACUUGAUGUUUGCAGAUGACCUCCUCCUUUUUUGUAAAGCGAAGAAAAAUCAAGUUCAGAAUGUUGUGCACACCUUGGAGUUGUUCUGUAAAGCUUCAGGUAUGAAGGUUAACAUUGAAAAAUCUAAAGCUAUUUGUUCUAGAAAUAUCUCUAAUAGAAGGAAGGAAAUGUUGUCUGGUGUUUCUCAUAUUCCUUUUACUAGUGACCUAGGCAAAUACUUGGGGGUGAACCUUAAUCAUCCUCGAGCUGCUAGAUCUAUUUUUUCGGACUCUUUAGAGAAGAUCAUGAAUAGGCUGGCUAGUUGGAAAGGUCGGCUCCUUAACAGAGCAGGCAGGCUUUGCUUAAUUAAAUCUGUUGCUUCUUCUCUUCCUAUUUAUCAGAUGCAAGUGACUCUUUUUCCUACUUCGGUUUGUCAAAAGAUUGAUUCUGUGCUUAGACAAUUCUUGUGGAAGGGAAAGGUAGGGGAGCGUUGCUUAAAUUUGGUCAAGUGGAGCAAAGUUGUCACUCCAAGAAAAUAUGGAGGCUUGGAAAUUAGAGAUACUCAAUGCGUAAAUUUUGCUUUACUCAGAAAGCUUGUUUGGCAAUUAUUGCAUAAUAAAGAUAAGCUUUGGGUAAGAAUUAUGUUGGCAAAAUAUUUAUCUGGGAGUUUUUGCUUUUCACCCAAAUUUUCUAAUAAUGUUUCAAGCACUUGGCGAGCGAUUUAUAAGACAAUAGAAAAACUUCGUGAUGGUUUUGAUUGGUGUACAGGCAGGAUGUCUCAAUCCUUUUGGUAUCAUGCUUGGCGACCAUGUGGAACGCUAGCUCCUUUGGUUCCUUUUGUGCACAUUUCUGAUUCUCACUUGAAGUUAGAAGAUGUCUGGCACCUUGGGCAUUGGCGGUGGAAUAUUCUUUGCACAAUGAUUCCGGAAGAAGUUAAACUAGAUUUGAUGCUCUUUGAUCCUAUCAAGCAGGCAUGAGAUAAAACAGGUUGGUUUUGGACAAACUCAAAUACUCUCACCUACUCGACUAAAAGCGAGUAUGAAUGGCUAUUGAAGAAGAAAUUUGGAUGGAAUGAUAAUGAAAAUUGGCUUCGGCUUUGGCGCUUGAGAAUACCGGAGAAGAUAAAGUGUCUGCUCUGCCUUUGCCUCAACAACGGAGUUCCCACAGCUAGUUACCGGUUUCAAAGAGGUAUUUCUACUUCUGAUUUUUGUCAGAGAUGUUUCUUCUUGUUUCGCGAGGCACAACCAGCAUGAUUAGGAAUGACUCUGAUCUGCUUGACAAAAUCAAAGAGAUGCUCCAGCGCAAUUGGACAGCUACUUUAGUGCUCAUCCAGCGAACAGCAGACAGAGCGGCUGAUUUAAUGGCUAAGACUGCUAUUUUAAACAAGCAGGUGUAUCUAGAGUGGUUACUGCCUCCUAAUAAUUUAGACAUUAUUAUUAGAGAGGAGUACUACUCUUUUUCUUAGGUCUUUUUUCUUUGUGUUAUGUUCAGUCACCAAAAAUGACAUUGGUGUGUAAUUGAUUCUAGUGCAUGAUUUAACUCAUUCAAUCGCCAUCUGCAACUAGACCCUGUUGAAACAGGGCUAGUUAACUUAAUCAUAGUAAGAUGAUAGCGGUUAGUGAGUUGUUUUAGUCAAGGUUCGGAGAACCGGACCGGUCAUCGAACCGUUUUAGUCACUGAUUUACUGGUUUAUUAGUUCAACCGAUCCAAUUGUGGUCUAAUCGAAAAAAUCGUUUUAGAAUAAAAUAAUAUAUAAAUUUUAAAUAUAUAUCCUAAAAUAUAAUUAUAGCUUUUGAUAAAGAUCUUCCUACCAAUCCAGUUCUUUUGGUAUAGCUUUGUGGUAUAAUUAUAGCUUUGUGGUAUAAUUAUACCAAUUCAAAAUUAGAUUGCAUAUACUAUAUUCAAUGAGAAAUCUUAUGCUUGUACAACUUAACAGCACAUAAUCCACCUGACAUAAAGCUAAGCAAGGACUCAAGAAUUGUUUAUUCUGAACAAAAGGGGAUCAUAAACAACUGAUUUUGUGGAAGUUCAAUGAAUAAACAAACAAACUACAAUAAUAUGCAUUAUGCAAUGCCAUAAACAAACCAAUGAUAAAGGGUUCCUCUCUUCAAGCUUGUGGGGGACUAGAAUCAAUCAACAGAGUAGCUGUUGGGAUAAUCUUCCUUCUUAAUUCUUAUAUACCUCAAACAAUUUCCUACAAAAUGAAAACUGAGCACAAAAUAGGGCCUUAAAACAAAAACAAAACAACACUCACAGAGCCAGAAAUCAGAACAUUCACACAGAUAGAAAUUAAGAACAAUCAGCACAAUAUACUAAAAAGAGCCAGAAAUCAAGAACAAUCAGCAACUAAAAUUAAAAUACAGCAACAAAUAAUCAUCCUAAAUACUAAAAUCGAUAAAUCUAUCAACAAAAAUUCAAAAACAGUUGAUUCAAAAGUUAAAAAACACUAAAAUAGUAGCAGCAAGUACCAAACAGCAACAAGUAAUCCCUAAUCACACUAAACCUGAAAUUUCAACAAACAUUUCAAACAGCAACAAGUAAUCCCUAAUCCCUAAACAAAAUUUCCAAUAAUGAUUUCAUUUUCAUUUUUAGCAGCAACAAGAAAAUUUUAACCAAAAUUUCAGAAAUCAAAGAAAGAGCAGCAGCACAAAAUCAGCAAAAAUUAUCAAUUUGACAAUUUCACAUUAAAAAUCAACAAACUGAGGCUCUCAGGAGAGAAGAUGGAGACAAGAACAAAACAGACAAAGACACUAACCUUCGAUGGAGGUAUGGACGGCGACAAGGGAGAUGACGGCUACCGGGGAGACGACGGCUACUGGCGAUACGGCAGCAAAUUGCUUCAAGCCAACAAAACAGAGAAGCCACGGAGGUCAGACGGAUGACGGGAAAGCAGAACGCCGAGCUACAAGAGAGGGCCAGGCCACGGACGGCGCCGACAGCACGGACGGCGGCAGCACUACGGCAGAACCAUUGCAAAAUGCAGAGAGAGCCUAGGUUUUGGUUUGGUGAGUUAAGAUGAAGAGGCGAAGAGGACCUGCCGGCUUACUGGGUUCCGGACAUGGGGAAGAGGAAGAAGCGGCGGUGCUGAGGAACUGGAGACGGCAGCGGCGCUGAGGAACUGGGAACGGCGGUGACGAUGGAGGGCUAGGGUUCCUUUGCUUCCGAGUUCUCCAGGGAGUGAGUAGUGAAAUGAAUGAAUUGAAUGAUUGGGGGAAGAGGGGGGUUGGGUGGAGUGCGUCCGUUUCUUUCUUCUUCUUUUUUUUUAAUUAAAAAACGGCGUCAUUUUUUCUGAACCGACCGAUUACCGGUCCGACCCAACCGACCGAUUCAACAAUUUUUCAACGGUUUUAUUUCGAACGGUUAUAGGUGAAGGAUUGGACCGUUUACAUCGCCGGUUUCCGGUUAAACCGGUUUGACCGGCCGCUCUGAUCCUAUUUUCAGAACCUUGGUUUUAGUAAGCUAAUUAAUUUAGUCACAGUUCAGUUAUUCUUAUACUAUAUAGAUAGUAAGUAGUCAUUGGUUGAUAUCACCACUCUACACAUUAUUAAUGAGCCAAAUUUCAUGCUUAAAAUCCUUAGCUUGUUCCACUUUUAAGCACGAGGGAGUGAGAAUUUUACAUUGUCUAAGAUAAAGUGUUGACAUCUUGUAGUUAUAGUUACUUAAAAAAAAAAAUGCAAAAGUUGAAUUAAUCCAAUCUUAGGAAAUGUGAAGGGUCGCUCAUCAGUUAGGUUAGGCCUCAAACUCCCCAUGAAAAAGUAUGCAAGAUAAUAAUAAUAAUAGUAACAACUAACAACAACAACGAUUGAACCGAUUUCAUUAGAAAUGGAAUUAAAGUUAAAAGUCAAAUCACAAUAUAUAAAUAAUGCAGGCCACGGCCUAGCUAGUAUAUUAUCAUGGUUGAUAAACAAUAAGGUUAAGCAAUGGAACCAUGCAUGCAAGAAACUAGAAGAGGAAAAAACGGUGAUGAGUAGUAUCAAUGUAUGAUGAUGCAAUCAAAAUUUCAGCGUAAUUAGAGAAAUAACCGACACACUUUCCAGCCUGGAAGGAUCGGCUGAGCUACUUCUUGAUAGAACUAUAGGGGCACAAUAUAUAUAUAGAACAGUUUGAGAUUAUUUGAAAAUGAUAUGAACAAUUUAUAAUAAAUUACCACUAUAUUUGUUGGUUUUUGUGUCUUUUCUAGCACACGUGUAUCACUCUCCCAUUAUUGUAAGACAAUAGAAGAUGGCUAUCCCAAAAGGAGGAAAGACAAGACAAAAAAACAAACAACUCUUGAGGGCGGCAAAACACUACAUCCAACCUCAUAUAUAUAUAAAUUGCAGCCACAUAACCAAUUUGAUCAAAAUAAAAUGGGUACUCGUCAAGGAAACAACAAUCAUAAGGUAGCCGAUCAUCAUAGAAUUUCAGAUUUUUCCCUUGACUCAAUCUCACUCUCUUUUGCUGGUCUUGUUUCUAUCCAAGACCAGCAGAAGCAGCAACAACCAACUCCCACUGUUAAUAAUAAUCAAAAUGAACAUCACAUGCACAAUCACCAUAACCAUAACCUAAGCAGCUAUAAGCUUCCAGAACCAGACUUUGAAUUCACCACCAACAAAGCUUCUUCAGAGCCUAAGAAUUCUGCUGCUGCUGUGUUGAUUUCCAAUGGUCAACUCGUACCACAAUCAUCACAACCAAAUCGAUCACCUUUGAACCAAAUUCCUCAAGGUACCUUAGGGACAUAUCUAGCAACUGAUGAUGAUGAUCAUCAUCAUCAGCAGCAGCAGCAGCGUCCUCGUCCACGUCAUCAUCACUUGAGUAGCAGCAUGCCAAGUGGACAAAGAGGGAACCCAAGGAAAUAUCAUUAUGAAGCACUUGGCAAAGCAAGGAAGCAUUAUGAUGAAGGGGAUGAUUAUGAUUAUGAUGAUGAUGAUGAUAAGAAAAAGAAGAAGAAGAAAUCGUUUGGGAAGAAAGCGUUGAGGUCUUUUAUAUCACCGUGCCGCGAUUGCAAGGCCAUUCAAGCAAGUGCAGUUAAUAAAUAUUCCAAGACCCCCCAAGUUUCAAAAUAUGGCGAGUAAAUGUUAUUGUUGCAUGCAUGCAUAAUCGAUCAUAAUUACGUACCGUUCGAAUAACUAGUAAAUCUUAAGAUCCAUACUAUUCUCCUUUAUUAUAUAUUUGGUUUCUCAAAACUACAAAGAUAAUAUGUGUUAUGUUUCGUGUUAUCAAGGACAUGCUCGAUUGAUCACCGUUACAUUGGUUAUUAGUUAUUACCCAUCCAGUUAUCUAAUUUUUUGUUUCUUCGCUAACUGAAUCUGUGUAGACAUUUCUUCUUAACUCUCUAAUCUCUGAUAAUUAUUAUUACAACAUUUGCCAUCAAUAAUCAUUAGAAAUAUGGAUUACUUUUUAAUAAAUUCAGCACAGAAUAUCAAUGUCAUCGUUAAUUAUUAUUUUAAUACCGAAAGGUAUCAGUGGCUAACAGAUGAUGAUGAAGAAGAAGAGAGGAUGAGAGCAUUUGAGAUUUUGAGAGAGAUUGAUUAUGGUUUAUUUUAGUGCUCAAAGUGAGCUGUUACAAGAGAUUAUAUAUGCUUGACUUACCCUAACAGUUUCUACCAGUUUCUGUUGCUUAACUAUACCCUUUCAUUCCCCUUCAAACGAAGGAUUGGAGCUUCUCGAAUCCUGAAUUUGCUGCAAAAAUCAUGAAACUUAGUGGAUGAAACAGCAUUAGUCAUCACGUCAGCCACUUGCGCGUCAUCUGGAAUAUGAUGAACCUGAAUAUCUCUUUUUGCCACAUGGUCCCUCACAAAUGCUAGAUCAACUUUAAAAUGCUUCGAUCUAGAGUGCCAAAUUGAAUUAGCAGAAAGUUGGACCGCACCUAAGUUAUCACAAUACAUUUUCGGUUGAGUGACAAGAUGAAUUUCAGCUAAGAACUUUCUUACCCAAAGCAACUCAGCCACAACUGCACCAAUGUCUUUAUACUCUGUCUCAGUACUGGACUUGGAUACGCAUUGCUAUUUCUUAGAGCUCCAAGAGAUCAUCAAGUUCUUCCCAUAUAAACAUAAUAACCUGCUGUAGACUUCCUAUCCUCAAUGUCCGAUGCCCAAUCAGAGUCAGAGUAUCAUGUGAUGUUAAGUUCAGUGCACGAGUGUAAGCCAAAGAAUUUUGUGCCCUGCAGAUACCUUAGAAUGUGUUUGACCGCUUUCCAAUGAGAAUCCCUUGGUGCCUGCAUAAAUUGACAAACUUUGUUGACAGGGAAGGACAACUCAGCUCGAGUUACUGUUAGAUAUUGCAAGCUGCCGACAAUGAAUCGAUAGAAGUUGGGAUUGUGAAACAACUCACCAUCUUGAGAAGUUUUAGAUUUGUAGUCAUAGGUGUGGGAGCAGUCUUACAAUUCUCCAUAUCAGCCUUUUUCAGGAUAUCACUAAUAUAUUUGGUCUGUGUAAGCACCAAAUUACCAUUCUCUAAUCGAUUUACUUCAAUUUCAAGAAAAAAAAUAAAGGGGACCAUGUCUUUAAGUGCAAAAGUUUUGUUUAAUUGUUGGGUGACAUCAUAAAUGGCUGGCCUGUGAGGAAGAGUCAGUGAGGAUUAUGUCGUCAACAUACACCAAGAGAAAGAGCACUGCACCAUUGGAUUGUUUGACAAAGAGGGAGGUAUCUGAUCUAGUUGCUUGGAAUCCGAGACUAAUGAGUACAGUGGAUAGCUUGGUAAAUCAGUCCCUCGAAGCUUGUUUCAGUCCAUAUGGAGAGCGAGUAAGCUUGCACACCACCUGUGAACCACCGAUUUGGAAUCUUUGAGGUUGCGUCAUGUAUACUUGUUCAGAAGGUCACCAUUUAAGAACGCGUUGUUCACAUCUAAUUGCCUUAUGUCUCAACCUCUGGAGAGUGCCAAUGUCAAAAUGAUCCGCACACUUGCUGGUUUAAUUACGGGACUGAAGAUUUCUUUAAAAUCGAUGCCUGGUCGUUGACUGAAUCCCUGAGCUACGAGGCGCGCUUUAUAUUUGUUAAUUGAGCCAUCGGGAUUUCUCUUGAUGCGAAAAAUCCAACGACUUCCAACAGCAAAUCUUUCCUUUGGCAGUUCAGUGAGCACCCAUGUUUUGUUUCUCAUUAAGGCAGCAUACUCCUCAUUCAUUGCUUGUCUCCAAUGAGAGAUUUCAAGUGCUUGUCUUGCGGUUUUUGGCCCCAGAUCUUGAGAAAGAGUUGCUUGAAAUAUUCUUGAUUUGGUGAUACCAUUCUUGGCCCUAGUGAUCAUGGAAUGCUAAUUUUGUGACUGUGGCUGUGGAAUUUGAAUUGUAGGAGGUUGAGAUGUUUGAUGUUGAUGUGCGGUGGAUGAGGGUAAAGGUUGAGGUAUUGGAUUGGGUGAAGGGUGAGAUGAUUCGAUUGAGGCUGAGGUGGGUUGAGAGUGAUAUGGGUUUGAGAAAGUGUUAUCAGUGUGAAUGGAUGUUUGAUUUGAAGGAAGAGUGAGAAUUGAUAUGGAGGGUGUGGUUAAGUUUACUAGUUGAGGGUGUGAUGCUUGAGGAUUGAUGAAACCAAAGGCAGAAGACUUGUAAGGAAAGGUGUCUUCCUGAAACCUAACAUCUCUUGCAAUGAUUAUCUUACCAGCUUUAUUAAGUCAUUUGAAACCUUUGUAGUUGAUUGCGGGUCAAGAUACACAUACGGCUUAGAUCAAAAUUGAAGUUUAUGUUUGUUGUAGCGUCUGGUGUGUGGAUAACUUAAGCAUCCAAAGACCUUUAGCAUGUCAAGUGAAGGAACCUUCUGCAUCAGCUUUUCAAAGGGUGACUGAUAGUUUAACACUGGAGUUGGGAGCAAGUUGAUGAGAUGAGUGGCUGUGACAAACGCAUCACUCCAAAAUUUCAUUGGCAAGGCUGCUUCUGCCAAUAAUGUCAAUCCCAUCGUUGUAAUGUGUUUAUGUUUGCACUCAGCGCCUCCAUUUUGUUGGUGCACAUGAGGACAAGAAAAUCUGGGAACAAUUCCUUCUGUCUGCCUGUACUUGGCCAAAGCUACAUAUUCUUUUGCAUUAUCACAUUGUACAGAUUUUAUUUUUGCAUUGAAUUGGCGUUCAACUAUUGUCUUAAAAUGAACAAAGACUGUAUGCAAUUGAGAUCUAUUGUGUAGUAGAUAAAUCCAAGUGAAUUUGGAGAAUGCAUCAAUGAAAUGCAAGUAGUAUUUAGAACCAUUUAUUGAAGACACUGGAGCUGGACCCCAUAUGUCAGUGUACACCAACUCUAAAGGAGCUUUGAUUACAGUUUUAGACAUUGGAAAUGGAAGCUAACAUGAUUUUCCUAAACAACAAGAAUUACAAAGAGAAUUAGAUCCCAUUUGGGAAGUGACAGAAGCUACUUUUUUUUUUUAUUUUUGAAUUAUGAAAAGUCACGAUACGCGUGUUUGGCACCAUUUUAAAGAAAAGCUUUUAACUUCCCGAAAAGUUAAUUUACAGCUUUUUGAAGAAGUAGAAAUAUAUGACUUCUCUCCUUCUCGAUAAGUCAUUUUAUCACUUCCGUGAAAAAAAUUGAUUUCAAAACAAAAAAAAAUCUACUUUCAUUCUUGAUUCUGUGAAAAAAUGUUUCCUAUUUCUGCUGAAAAUACUGACCCUCCACCACCAUUUUCACGCAAGGUUCCAUCUUCUAGAAGCACUAGCCUUCCACCAUCAUCUUCACGCAAUGUUCCAUCUAUUGGAAGUGCUGGCCCUCCACCACCAUUUUCACGUAAUGAUUCAUCUGCUGGAAGUAUUGACCCUCCACCACCAUUUUCUGUUCCAUCUGAACCAGCAUAUAUUCCUUACAUGUAUUUUUUUUAUCAUUCUAUUUUUAUUAUUAAAUUUGUAUUGAACAUUGUGUAUGCUAUGAAAUCUCAAUUUUAAUUUUAUUUUUUUAUAUGUAAUUUUAUUUUUAUACAACUUGCUAUUAUUUUUAUAAUUAAUUAUAGCAAGUUCUUGACUCCAAUAAAGGAGAAGAGAGUUCUAAUAAGAGUAAAAAAAUAAAAAACAGUAAUAAUUUUUUUUAUGUAUCUCUCCACUUUUAUGUAUCUCUUCAUGUACGAAAUGUUUGUUUGAUUUCUUUUUUUUUUAUGUUCUUCCCCAACAAAUGCAUAAAAGUGGCAAGUCCAGAAGAAUAUUUAAAGCCGAUUGAAAUGAACGAAAUACUGUUAUAUUCAUGAAAAUAUGUAAAGAAGAGAUGGUGGCUGAAAAUAGACCUGGAACACAUUUUAAUAAAGUUGGUUGGGCAAAUUUGAAAACAAAAUUCUUGAAAGAGACUGGUUUAAAUUAUGAGUCUAAAUAAUUUAAAAAUAAGUGAGAGGGUAUAAAAAGAGAAUGGGGACUACGGGCUAAACUAAAAGGAAAGGAGACCGGUCUUGGUUAGGAUUCUAUUAAGAAGACCAUACAAGCAAGUAAUGAUUGGUGGGAUGCUAAGAUUCAGGUAUGUUGCAUUUUUUAAAACUAUUUCAGAAAUAUCAAUUUUAUCGAGAGAUUUUUAAUUGUCAUUUUAUCGUCUCAUAGGAAAAUUCUGAUGUGACAAAAUUUAGAAAGGAAGGUCCAAACAUCUUGAUGAAAUAGAGUUCCUUUUUGAAGAUGUUGUAGCUACUGGCGUAGGUGCAUGGGCACCUUCUGAAGAUAUAAAUGAUAGUUAUAACGAUAGAUAUAAUAACGAAGAUAAUGGUAAUGAGGAAGCAGGUUUAGAAGAUGAGUUAAAUGAUGAAUCAAUGCCUCCUAGUGCAAUGAGACAAAAGAGAAGAAAGGUUGGAAAAGGGUCUGGAGCCUCUCAACUUUCAACUCAGCUAGAACGUAUAAUUAAUGUGUUUGAAGAAGAAAAGGCCUACGAAAUAGCUCAUAGAAAUAACGUACCAAGUAUAUCUACUUGUUUAGCUGUUCUCAAACAAUUACCUGGGCUAGAAGUGGGGAGUGAUAUAUUCUUUAUAGCUACAAGACUAAUAGCAAAAAAGUCAAAUAGAGAGAUUUUUAUGGGGCUAGAAGAUUCUGCCUUACAACUUGGUUGGUUGAAGACACAUAGUUUAGCAGAUGUGUCUGGUUCUUAAAGUUUUUUUGCUAAAAUGUCUCUUUUUAAUAUAAUUAUGUGUUAUUCAAAAAAUAUUUUCUAUGAUUAUAUUUUUUUAUUAUUUUCUAUGGUUGUUUGCUAUUUUAUAUUUAAGAUGUGAACUAGUGUUUAUUUGAAGAUUGUGGUUGACACACAAGUGUGAUUAGUGUUUAUUAUUUGAUAUUAGUUUAAAAUAUUUGUAUAACAAGAUAUCUAACAGCUCAACUGAAAGUUUGUCAACUGAAAGUUUGAUAUCAAAUACAAAUGUGUCAGACAAAGAAUUUGAAAACAAACAAAAAGUCGCAGCCAAACGUAAGAAGAAGACAAUGACUUUAAUAAUAAUCGUAACUUGUGUUGAUUAUUUUCUAAAGUACGUUAUGAAAAAUCCACGAAGAAUUUCAAGGUUGACAGGAAGUAGUUGGGUAAAUGAACUUUUAAAUAGGCAUCCUAUUCGUUACUACCAGCAAUUUAUGAUGAAAAAGAUUGUGUUCCUUUAUCUCUGUGAUGUUUUACAAAAUACUUGCAAUCUGAAGACAACAAAAGGGAUUGGAAUUCAUGAACAAGUAGGUAUAUUUUUAAUAUCAUUAGACAACCAGGUUCAAUACGUAAUGCAGAAGAGAGAUUCCAACAUUCAGGAAAACUAUUUCUAGACAAUUUCAUUGUGUAUUGGAUACUGUUUGCAAGCUUGCUCAACAUAUUAUUCAACCAAUUGAUCCACAAUUCACAAAUAGACCAGUGGAAAUUAAAAAUGAUGAAAGAUAUUAUCCAUAUUUUAAAAAUUGCAUUGGUGCAAUAGAUGGAACUCAUAUACCUGUUGUUGUUCCUGCCGACAAGAAAAUUCUAUACAUUGGUAGAAAGAAAAUCACAACUACAAAUGUGAUGGUAGUAUGUGAUUUUAAUAUGUGUUUCACAUUUGUAUGGGCAGGUUGGGAGGGGUCUGCACACGAUACUAAAAUUUUCAAUCAAGCUGUGCGUAGAUAAAGUCUUCAUUUCCCUCUUCCUCCUAAAGGUUAGCAUAUUUGAGACUAAUAUUAUUUAUAUUAGAUUAAACUCUUUAUUUUUAUUAACUGAUUUUGUGGUGCACUAAAUUUUUGCUAGAUAAGUACUACUUGGUAGAUUUUGGCUAUCCGUGUUUUAUGGGGUUCUUAGGUCCUUAUAAAGGUCACAGAUACCAUCUUUUGCAUUUUAGAUUGGGUCCCAGAGUAAGAGGAAGAAAUGAAGUAUUCAACUACUAUGUACUAUCAUUCUAGCCUUAGAUGUACAAUCGAACGCUCAUUUGGAUGUUGUAAAGCAAGAUGAAAAAUUUUAGGUGCCAUGCCAUCGUUUUCCUUAGACACACAAGUUAGAAUUAUUGGUGCUUGUAUGGUUUCACACAAUUUUAUUUGACGGAAUGACACAAGUGAUGAAUAAUUUGAAGAAUUUCAUGAAAAUUUUGAUCUUAUGGGUAGAGGUGAAGGGAAAGUAGAAUAAUCAGUUUCUAAUGAUAUUACGUGGAAAGAACCGAAUGCUGAAAGCGCUAGAAAAAUAGAACUAAUUAGAGAAGAAAUAAAGAAUCAAUUGCUUGAUCGAUUAUAAUAUUAGUGAUUUGGUUAUGUAAAAUCAACCUUCAAUAAUGGAAGGUAUUUGUUAUCAUCGUUAUUUUAAUAUCCAUUCUCUUGUGUAAAAGAAAUUAUAUUUUUUGAGUUAUUUAUCCAAACGCUACAACUUUAAAAUAAGUACUUCUAUAGUUAAAAAUCCAAACAAAAAAUACCUUAUUUAUAAGCUGCUAUUAAUAAAAGUCAUUAUACUUUAAGCUCUUUUUCCAAAAGAACUUAUUUAAGUUAUUUACCCAAAUUGGGCCUUAAUAGGAGUAAAGGGAAUAUUGUGACUUCUAAGAACUCUGGACACUAUAUUAGUGGAGGGAUGGCCCAAUCUGAGGUGCCAUAGCUGAAAAUUAGAGGAUUUGAUCACACUUGUGUUAUACACAGCAACACUAUUUACUGAAUUCUUUAUGCAAGCUGGACUAAAGGAGUACAGACCCUUCCUAACUGUUCCUUGGAGAAGAGUCACCUUGGAAUCCUGUGAUUUUACCAAGCAUUUGUUAGGAUGAAACUCAACCCAAACAUUAUUAUCACACACGAAUUUGUGAACGCUAAGCAAAAUUUUCUUGAUAGCAGGAACAUGCAACAGUCUUUGUAGUUUAAAGCAAUGAUUUGAUGAAAACGGUUUUAGAAAUGAACAGCCAACUUUAGAAAUCUGUAAAGAAUUUCUAUUACCUACAAUCACUUGCUCAUUACCAUUGUAGUUCUCAUACUCAGAGAAGUUGGAUGCCUCAGGUGUCAUGUGAUGAGUGACUUCCGAAUCAGGGUACGAAUUUGGAUCAUACACUGUUGAUGGUGUUGCUGCAAGAUUUCCCACCGCUAUGUUGGCUUGAGGUCUGCUAUGAGUUCCUCCAAAUUCUUUGUUAAAUCUGUGCCAGCAAUUGAUUGCUAUGUGUCCUGACUUGCCACAUACUUGGCAGAUGAAUCUUGAACCAUUUUGGCCUCUUCCUCGUCCAGAACUUGAACCUGAAUUGAAUCUACAUCUACCUCGAUUAUUAUGGCCUCCUCGAUAGCUAUAUCCUCUUCCAAUUCCUCUACCUGCAUGAUUAUUGUAACCAUAAUUGUUUUUGCUUUGUUUGAACCUUCUCUGAUUUUCAGCUUGAGCAAGAUUGGCAUGAAUUGGAUCGAUCUUUUUAAACUUUUCAAGCCACUCCUCUUGAGCAAGUAGUAGUGCUUCCAAUGCGUUGACAAAGAGAGGGUUGUCUCUUGCAUUAAUUGACGUGAUGAAUGAAUAGUACUCUUCGAUUAAUCCUUCCAAGAUUGCUUCAACAUGUGCUGCCUCAUCGAUUGGUUCUCCAACUGAGAUUAACGCAUCGACCGUUUUCUUAAUUUCUAGCAGAUACUCGUUCAUGGAUCCCUCUUUCUUUGUGUUGGUCAAUUUGCUCCUUAAUUGAUGAACCUUGGCUUUAAUUUAUGAAGUGAAAAAUACCUGUAAUCGCGCCCAAAUUUGAUGCGAGAACAUGCAACCUACCAUUCUGGUAGUGAAAGUGUCAUUCAUCGAUGCUAAGAGCCAAGAUUUCAACAGCGCAUCUUGUCUCUUUCAGGUUUUGUACUCUGCUGAGUUUCGUCCAGCUUUCUCAUCUUCUGGUGAAUUGAAUUGGCGUGGAAUAUUGACUCCAUUAAUGUGAUCAUCUAAUUCAUACUCUUCGAUUGUUGAUUCACCCUACUCCUUCCAUGGCAGAAAAUUUUUACAGUCUAAUUUGAUCGCUAUCGUGUUUGAGAAGUUAUGAACCUCUUUGUUGUUAUUGUUACUGGUUUGAACUGGUGGAGUUAUCAUUUUGGAUCUGCAGCUCGGAUACCAUGAAGAAGAUGAGAGGAUGAGAGCGUUUGAGAUUUUGAGAGAGAUUGAUUAUGAUUUAUUUCAGUGCUCAAAAUGAGCUGUUAUAAGAGAUUAUAUAUGCUUGACUUAUGCUAACAGUUUCUAAUCGUUUCUGUGCUUAACUAUACCCUUUCAAAUACAAGUAUUUUACCAACUAGACAUACACAAGAAAAUGGUUUACUUAUAAGUUAUUCUUGAAAAUACCAUUUUCAAAAAGGAAAAAGUUCAUGUUAGUAACGUUUAUUGAUAUUGGCCAGUAAUUUUAGUCAAUGCACAUAUUCUACCGGUGUAUAUAUUUAGAGUCUUUUUCUUAAUUUUAGCUAAUAAAAAUAAUUAAAUAAGCCAAUGCUUAAGUACUUGCCAAAGAAAAAAUUGUACUGGUUUUAUGGGGCUGAUUUUUUUGUAUAUGGAAGAAAUAUUAGUGUUUUUUUGGGAAAUGGGAUUAUUUAGUGUAAUUACAGAUGGGUGGAUUUUGUAGAUAAAAGGUCAACACGUGGGGGCGUGGUGCAACACGUGGGGGCGUGUUGGACACGUGGCAACAUCUUGGCCAACACGUGGGGGCGUGUUGGACACGUGGCAACAUCCUAGCCAACACGUGGGGGCGUGGUGCAACACGUGGCAGCAUAUUGGCCAACACGUGGGGGCGUGUUGAAUGAGUUCCACAAUACUGUAAUACACUUCAAAUAUCAAUAUUCAACCAAAACACCAUCUCCAUUUCCAUAUUAAAAAUAAUUUCUGGUUUUAUGGUGUUGAAUUAUUGAUGAAAUAAAAAAACGAACUUGUGAAACAAACGCACUAAUAAGAGCUUUGUGAGUUGUGACUUUGUCUGUCCCUGGUGUGGGCUUUGUGUAAUUUGGGUCAUAUAAUCUUCCAGUAACAUUUGGGCUUUGGUGUUAUUGAAAUCCAGUUUCAGAGUUUCUGAGACCUGAUUAAAAAAAAUAAAUUCUAACCAAGUUGGGUUGGUCUAGUGGUUAGCUCACUAGUCCGCUUAAACAAGUGUCGGGGGUUCGAAUCCCGCUUUGUGCAUGCAGCAACCCAUUGGCAAGCGGCAAACCCUUAAAUGGAGUUCAGUACCGGAUUAGUCCUUAACUUGUCGGGUUGGGGGAGACCGUAGAAAAAAAAACUUAGAUAUUUUUUGUUUUAGUAUCUAAAUUGCAGAAAUUAAUUAAUGAAUGGGGAAAAAAUGGUGAUGUUCAAGUAUAUUGUUGCAUGGCGUGUAAUACUGGAAUGUGGACCUGCAAGUGGCAGGAAAAGCAAAAUGCAGGAAACGUUUUGCCUGCAUGAGGAAUUCUGAAAGCUAUUAGCAUGCUGCAAAACGCAGGAUGCGUUUUGAAGGGGAGUAGCUCCAACAAGCGAAACGUGUCCCUGUUCCCCCUGCAUGCAGACCAAGACUGCUUUUUUUACAGCAUUGGAGAAGCAAAACGGAAGAUGUGUUUUGAAGCUGUCAGGGAAAAAUGCAGGUUGCUUUUUGAAGGCUCCCUGCUGCAUGCACGACACGUGUUCAGGACAUCAGUUCCAGGUGCUAUAAACGCGAGUGCAAUGUAAAACGCAGGAAGAAAAUUUUGUAAAGUGAAAGGUUUGUUGAGAGAGAGGGGCAAUGGUGAGGGGUACCCUUGGAGACUUGCUGAGUGGUUUAGUGAGGAAGAAGAAGAGCAAAACGGGGCUGGUUAGAGUGAAGACCAUCAUUUGAAAAAUGGUUCGUGAUUUUACUAAACCUGAAGAUCACAUUAUUGAAUAUUUGGAUCAUCAUCAAUGGGUAAGUAAAUUUUUUAUUUUAAUAUAUAUUUAUUUAAAUUUUGUUUGUAAUUAGUACUGUGGUUAGUAAUAUUACUGUUUGUUUAAUUAAAAAAAAAAUUAUUAAUUGUUAUUGUUAUUGUCAUUAAAAAAAAUCAAUAUAAUAAAUAGUUAUUGUUAUGGUUAUUAUUGUUAUAUUUGAGUAAUUAUUAUUAUGAUCGAUAUAUUAUUAUUUGUUUAUAAUACUGGUUAUGAUAGUGAGAAUAACUUAUAAUACUACUGUUUAGUAAAAAGUUUUUUUUAACACUGUUUGGAAAUUUUUUUUACUAAUUUUAAUAGUUAGGUAGUAUAUUGUAAUAAUAAAUAAUAUUAUUUAAUAACAGAAUACUGUUUAUUAUUUGUGGUAAUAUUGUGUAGUGUAUUAAGUUAUUAUUAAUAGUAAUAAUAAUACUUAAUAAUUAUUAUUGCUAACUCUUUUUUUGAAUAAAUUAUUAACUGAUAUUAUUUAGAAUUUUAAUAGUUAUCAAUUUUUUUGUUGUAGGGUAUCAGAAAUUUGUUGUCCAGAAAACUUGAUCCGCUAGAUACCUUUAACGAGGUAGCUGCUGCGGCAUAUGAGCCGCAAUUUCAGAUGCCGGUGUACGAGCAGCAGUUUCAGAUGCCGACAUUUGACCAGCAGUAUUUGGUAGUUCCACCCGGCGAGCAGUUUAGUCCCUUGGUUCCAGCGGACAGCCUCAGCCUGUCUCAGGUCCUGAGAGAUAUAGAUACAGCACAUCUAUUUCCGACACGAGAGCAGGAAGCGCCUGCUCCAACUGUGCAGUCUGCUGGUCGUCGCGCCUCAUUAGGUCAUGCUAGUGACUUCGACGUGGACACCUCUACGGGGCAUGUACAUCAUGUCGGUCCUUCCGCACCACCGCGCACCCAGUUGUUUGACUUGAAUGAAUGCCCUCAGGAGGAAGAGGAUGUUUUGGGGGAUGACGUUCACCACUAUUAUGACCUUGGUGGAACGAGUGCUCCGGGGGUGACUGGUUCCUGGAUAUGUGACACUGGCAGUUCGAGCAUGACAGAUUUCGGGGAUCUGGAUGCCGGUGUGUCUCAGGGUCAUCCGUAUAACUUACGGACACAGACUGCGCCUCCGGACAAAUACACACCGUCGUUGUAUUCGAAGAAGGCGCCGAGGAAGUAGUCAGUUGCAGUUUAUGUUGUACUGCUAGAGUUUAGUUUUGUUUUCAUUGUCAUAUUUUGUAUUCAGUGUUUUAUUCAGUAUUGUAUUAUGACUUGGUAGUGUUAAGUAUUAUUGUUGUUAUAUAUUUAGCUUUGUGCUCGCAUAAAAGACGUCCCAGAUUAUCCUGCUUAAUUAUUAUUCAGUGUUUACCGUGUAGAAUGAAAGUUAACAACAAAGAAAGUUACAUGACAAGUUUAAAAUAUUUAUUGAUUUAAUAAGUGUUAACUAAUUUAAAAUAGAGGAUCAGGUUACAUAAAAGCCACAUACAACUGUGAAGUAGGGGAUAAUAAAGUUACACAAAAGCUUAGCCACUAAUGUCCUCCAGCGGAGCCUGGACCUGCGCGCUGAGGACACCGGCUGCGGCUAUGUCCCUCACGUCCACAAACCGUACACCGGCGAGGACCACGCAUAUCCCGCGAAUCCAUCUCAUUCAAGUAGCGGGUUGACUUCGGUCUUCCCUUUGUCGCGCGCCUCUAUGUCCAGUUGGCGAUCACCUUCGCUCCUUCGUAUCUAUCCCACAUAGAUGGGUCACCCAUCGGAACAAACUCGCCUCUGUACACCUUGCAAAUUUGAGACAUCUUGUACACAUCGUGCACGUACACUUGCCAAUCAAGACGCUGGUUGGCGCAACAUGCAAGCACGUGGCGACAUGGAAGUCGCUCAACCUGGAAGUGGCCACAGUCGCAGUGUCGUUGCGCAAGAUUAACAGUUUAAAUGGUACCAUCUUGCAUUUCGCGGACCUCAAACAUCUCGUUGCGCGUGUCGAACCGGUUGACCACAAUGUUUCCUGCACGUCGGAAGCUUUCUUCAACUCUCUUCGUUGCAAAUUCUGAAUACGUGAAUCCGUUGCGGAGACGGUCAUGAGCCUCAGUACUCUUCCGAGUGAACAACUCAUUCAGCCGAUAGAAAGUUGACCGGACAAGGGCAGUCACAGGAAGGUUGCGUGCACCCUUCAGGACAGAAUUUAUACACUCUACCAAGUUUGUUGUCAUAUGUCUCCAACGAUGACCACCAUCGAAUGCCAACACCCAUCUCUCAACUCCGAUCUCAUCGCACCAUUGAGUAUAUGCCUCACCCCACUCUUUAAGCCUUUGGUAGUUUUUGUUGUACUCCUGCUCCGUCCUAGAAUAGCCUGUUGAACAAACCAUUUAAUCAUAAGUAGGUGCCACAAAUUUACUAUGAAUAGAACCAUAAUAGCAAGUUGAAAUACCUGUGUUGACCACGAGUUUAUGCAAAUAUAGAGCCUUGAACCUCCUUAAGAAGUUGGACCCGAUGUGCCUGAUGCAGUACAUGUGCCACACCUUUGGUGGUGACCAUGCACCGCGAUCUAUUGCAGCGUCGAUGGAGGUAUGGCGGUCAGAAAUAAUACCCACACCAUUAAUGGUAACAAACAUAUCUCCGCAAAUUGGUUAAGAAAAACUCUCACGUGUCUGCUGUCUCGCCCUCGACAAUCGCAAAUGCAAUAGGUACAAUGUUUUGAUUCCCAUCCUGUGCAACAGGUACCAGAAGUGCACCUUUAUAUUUUCCGUACAGGUGCGUGCCAUCAACCUUCACCAGUGGCUUGCAGUGUCUGAAUGCUACAAUACACGGAUAGAAGCUCCAAAAAACGCGGUGCAGAACUCUUACACCUUGAACCUCCUCAACACGAGACCUUGGCAUCUUCACUGUCAUUGCUUUCAACCACACUGGCAGAGUCUGGUAAGAAACUUCCCAAUCACCAAAAACUUUUGCGACAGCUUUCUGCUUUGCCAACUAAGCCUUGCGGUAACUCACAGUGUAGUUGAACCUGCCUUGAACUUCUGCAAUAACGGACUUCACCUUUAUCGAAGGGUCUGCUUCGACCAACGGCCUAAUGGCAUCUGCAAUUUUGUCUGAGUCCAACUUGGCAUGAUCUUGUGAAAUCGUGCUCAUGGUGCACGUGUGCUUCCCAUUGUAUCUCCUGAUCUCCCAACAAGCUUUUUUUCGAAUCAAGCUAGCUCGGAUAAGCCAGUCGCACCCUGCACCAUAUCCCUUGCAUUUCGCAUAGAAUGUCUGUGGCUCAGACUCAUACACAGUGUAAUCAACUCCUCUAGAGAUGGUGUAGCUUUUGAUUGCAGACAUCACUGACUCUCUCGAACCAAAUUCCAUUCCGACACUAAACUCGCCAUCUUCCGCCGCAAUGUUGCCUUCACCUACGACGUGCGCACUAGCAUCAGUUUCAGACAAGGCAAAUUAUUUAAGCACUACAGGAAACUUGAGUUAAUAAUCAUAACAUACCCGUAUUCGCAUACUCAGGAAAUUUUGGGGCAUGCAUGGCUUCGAGAUCUAGAGUCGGCAUAAAAGACGGAACACCAAACGGGUGUUGGCUUACAACGGCAUUCGCUUCAUUUUGAACUGCCGGAUUGCCUGCCAAGUCUCCGUCAUCGACUUCAUAGUUUGCUUCGAAUUCCUCUUCGCUAUCAUUAUUAUCUUCUUCCCAAUCUAUAUCCCCGAGCUCAUCAACAUUGACCUCCUCGCCGACCGUACUCAUCCCCGACUGCUGUUCAAACUCAAUGUACAGCUCUAUCAUCGGCACUUGAGAUCGGGUUUGUUGAUAAAUAUAAAACAUCUGCUGCAUACUGGUAUCGUCAGUGAUGGGUAUUAUUUGAAACUGUAUUAGCCCACCAAAUACUUGCACAGGACUUCUGUAUAAAAGAUUGCUCACCCUUUUUAAAAUGUGGCUUUGAAUGUUAUUACAAAGACCAUUUUAUAACUCGACAAAACUCAUGGUACAUGGAAUGGCAAAUGACAAUGGACAUUCACAAACAAAGGUCACUCCUUCAUGUGUGUUUGUUAUAACCUCACCGUUAUAAUAUACUCGCAAGUUUGCAAUACCUUCCAUAACUUCAGCCUCAACUAACUCUAUUUUUUUGACACAGUUAUCUGCCAAAAAAACACCCUAUUGAGGACUUUAUGAAAGAAAAACCAAGAGGAGAAGUGAAGAUGAAGAAAAACGAAACCGGACUUUGUAUUUAUAGGCAAACUUGUGGAUUUAAAUAUUAUUAUGUGCACAAAACGCAGGCUGCGUUUUUGGAAUUCCAAGAAAAAGUUUCUGACACUAACAAAACGCAACUUGCGUUUUGUGGGUUUCAAAAAAAAUUCAACAUUUUCAGGUGCAAAAACGCAAGGUGCGUUUUUUUAAAAGCCAACUAAAAAGAAAUUAAAAAAAAAAUUUUAAAAGCCAAAACGUAAGCUACGUUUAUUUUAUUUCAAAAUUAAAAAAUAUUUAACAAAUAUAAAACGUAAGUCACGUUUUGUCUCUGACCCAUAGCAGUGCAAUAUUUUGCAUUCCUUCCAUUUUACGGUGAUACACAUGGCUUCUUUCUAUAAGCAAAAAAAUCAGCCUCUAAAUUGUCUAAAUUAUUUUUUAAAGUAAAAAAUUAAAUAUUAACUAAUUACCUAUUUUGACAAAUUAAGUAUCAUUUAUAAAACGAAUUUGAAUUCUCUAAAUUUUGAAUUUUAUUUUAAAAGAUAAAAUGUGAUUUUUUAGCAUUUAUUUUAUAGGUAGGACCAAGAAAAUAUAUGAAAGAAAAAUUAAUCAAGAGUGAGAGAUCACAUUUUAUUUUCCGUUCUUGCUGAGUUUGGCCGGUGUAUGAAGUUAGACAAUUUAAACACCAUAACAAGAGCACCAUAGAACUCACUUUUUUUUUGUGAAUAGUAAAAUUUGGUAACAAACAAAAUUUAUGAAACCUCGUGCAUUGUAUAUGAUAAUUGUUUUUUGAAUGUUUUAUCUUAAAAUUAAUAAUCUCUACUCUUUAUUAAAAGUGUACAUACAAGAUAGUAUUCCUCCAAUAAACCUAACUAGUUGGCCACAUCCAGUGAAGAAGAACUGAAGAAGAAGAAGAAGGUGGUGGGUCCCAAAAUCCUCCAUUAUGUCCUCCGACGAUUGCGCGCUAAUGUGUCCUGCCGUCCUGCAAGUUGGUCAAAUGUCUAAAAAGUUCAGCCAACGCAUCUCUCAACCAUUCUACUACCAUAAGGUCCCAUCUAUUCAAUUAAUGAAAUUAAACCAAUUAAUUACGGUAGAUUUUCUUAGCUGGAUAUAUAGGCCGCUAUUAAUUGCAACUAAUGAUAUGUAACCAAUGCAAAAUGCUCAAGUAAAUUAUGCAUGCAUAAAGAGUUGCGAAUCAUAAUCAUAACAACGUAAAUAUUACUUAUAGUAUGAGUUGUAAUAGAUAUAGUUUCCACAUAAUUGAAAGGCAUCACGGUUAUGCAAAUAAAAGAUAUAAUUAGCUAGUAAUAUGCGCGUGAGUAGCACCUUGUAUAGUGUAUAGAGUUAAUCAUAGAUUGUGGCGCGCAAGUCAACUAUAUGAAGAACAAGAAUUAGUGUAUAACAGAACAGAAGACAAUACUAAACAACAAUGCGGCAAAGACCACGCUGCACGUUCUCUUUUCUCUUUAUUUUUCUUCUCAAAAAAGCAAGUAGCUAUGAUUACAUACACUUGAUUUGAAUUAAAGAAAACAAAAGAAAAGAAAAAGAGCGCAGCAUCUUGUAGAGAGAGAGAGAGAGAGAGAUAACACUACACUAACGCACACCACCACAAUGCUCCUUAGAUUUCUUGUGCCAUGGAUGCUCUUCUGCUUCUUCCUCCUCUGUUUCGCUUCUCUCUCCUCUUCAGCUAACCAAGGUCAGCUUUCUACCCCAUUGUUGUGUACUCAACUACCACCUCUUUUAUAUGCUUUAUUUUCCAUGUUCCCAUUUAGAAUUUAGAAUUACUUAUGUUGAAGUUGAACUAUGUAGCCUUAUGCAAUCAAAUUUCAAUUUUACUGGGCAGCCCCAUAUGCUUUGCGCUUAAGCUGUGGGGCAGAACAGAAUGUUGAAACAAGACCAACCAGCACCAUUUGGCACAAAGAUUUUGGAUACAGCGGAGGAAUAUCCACCAAUGCAACUCAUCCUAGUUACAUUACUCCACCACUCCCAACUCUCCGCUAUUUCCCUUUGUCCCAGGGCCCUCAAAAUUGUUACAACUUUGAUGGAGUCCCAAAGGGUCACUACUCAAUCAGAAUCUUCUUUGGACUAAUUGAUGAGCUUGGGAAUAGCACUGAGCCCUUAUUUGACAUCUCCAUUGAAGGCACUCAAACACAUUCAUUGAACCCUGGUUGGAGCACUCAGGAUGAUCAAGUGUUUGCUGAGGCCAUUGUGUUCCUCACCAAUGAUUCUAUCUCAAUCUGUUUUCACAGCACAGGUCACGGCGAUCCGGCCAUUCUUUCCAUUGAGAUUCUUCGGAUUGAUGAUAAGGCCUAUUAUUUUGUCCCAGGGUGGAGUGAAGGAGUUAUGCUUAGAACUGUUAAGAGACUGAGUUGUGGUUAUGGCCAGUCACGGUUUGGCGUGGACUAUAAUGGGGAUCCAAGGGGAGGAGACAGGUUUUGGCAACACAGUAAGGGCUUUGGUCAGUAUUCAGACGAGCCUAGAUCCGUUGAAACCAGAAUCAAACAGGCUACAUUGCCACCAAACUUCUACCCUGCCGCGCUUUAUCAGUCGGCGGUUGUUAGUACUGAUACUCAGCCUGAUUUAACAUACACAUUGGAGGUGGAUCCCAACAGAAACUAUUCUAUUUGGUUGCAUUUCGCAGAGAUUGAGAACUUGGUGACUGAUGCAGGGCAAAGGGUGUUUGACAUUGUGCUGAAUGGUGAUGUUGCCUUCAGAGAUGUUGACAUUGUGAAAAUGAGUGGGGAUCGAUAUACUGCACUAGUGCUGAAUAAAACUGUUAGUGUUGAUGGUAGGAUACUGACAAUAACAUUGACCCCAAAGCAAGGUAGAGCUAUGAUCAGUGCCAUUGAGAUAUUUGAAGUUAUAAUGGCUGAGUCAAAAACUUUACCGGAGGAAGGUAUUCAUGCACAUCCCUGGUCCUUACUAUUGUUAGUUUAGUUUAUUGUACUGUGAAAUGUGAAUGCAUAGCAACUUCUGAAAGUUGGUAACUGUUGUUAUUUAAUCUAGUAAGUGCAUUGCAAACAUUGAAGAAGGCGUUGGGGCUUCCACCCAGGCUUGGAUGGAAUGGUGAUCCCUGUGUUCCUCAACAACAUCCAUGGAGUGGAGUGGAUUGCCAAUUAGACAAAAGUAGCAGCAGAUGGGUCAUUGAUGGAAUGUAAUUUCUUUUGUCCUUACCUGUACUACUUGAUUAGCAAAGGGAUUCUUGGUACCACUAAAGCAUUAAAAUGUGUGCUUGUAUUGAAUAAUGAAUAUUAUUUGAUCUCAAUAUCUUGAUUAAGUAGUGCUUGAUCUGUUGAUGAAAACAGUGGUCUUGACAAUCAAGGACUCAAGGGUUUCUUGCCAAAUGACAUAUCCAGACUGCGAAAUCUACAAACCCUGUGAGUUCAUCAAUUUAUGCCUUAUGUGUAUGUAAGUUGAUCAAAAUAAAUAGUCCCAAGUUCCCAACUUUCCAUUUUUCCUACUUUAUACUAUUGUUCUCUAAUAAAAUAUAUAUCACCAUCCGUAAGUUCAUAUGCCCAUUCCUUUGCUUAUUAUUAUGGCAUGUGAAUCGCAGAAACUUGAGUACAAACAGCAUCCAUGGAGAAAUCCCAUCCUCACUAAGUAAAUUAACUAGCCUGCAAGUACUGUAAGUGACAUGUUCUCAUUAUAAUCGUCUUGGUUUGUUUAUCAUAGUAAUGCAGUUUCUAAAUGGCAUAAUAAUCAAUGAUGCAGUGAUCUGUCCUAUAACUUUUUGGAAGGAGCAAUCCCAGAAAGUCUUGGAGAGUUGACAUCAUUACAGAGACUGUAAGAUUGUCUAGAGUUGAAAAAAUGAAACUUAUAAGACAAUGAGAAAUCAGUACUAAAGUUGUGUGGAUGCAGGAACCUAAAUGGGAAUAGGCUGUCUGGAAGUGUUCCAGCAAGUCUAGGAGGAAGACUAUUGCACAGAGCUAGCUUCAAGUAUGUUAUGUUAUUAUGAAUGAAUGAUUAAUGUUGAGAAUAAAGAAUACGCAAAACGCAAUGUAAUGUUGAUAUUGUUUUGGGUGCACGCAGUUUUACGGAUAACAGAGGACUGUGUGGUAUACCUGGUUUACCUAGCUGUGGACGUGGUCUCUCUGGGGGUGAUAGAGCGGGCAUUGGAUUAGGUGUUAGUUUCAUGGCGGUGGCACUUGUGGGAGGAUCAGUUUGCUGGUGGAGAAGGCGCAACAACAUUCUGAGAGCUCAACAAAUUGCAGGAAAGUCAGCAGCAUAUGCAAAAGCCAGGACUCAUUAUUCACGGGACAUCCAGAUGACAAGGCAUCAUCAUACUCAUACCCACACUGCUGUUGAGAAUGGCCCUAUAUUACUUUCAUGAUCUUUUCUUAUGUGUAUUUUGUGUAAAUCAGCAAAGUUUUGUCCAUCAAAGAAACUGGGCUCCUACUUGGAUUGGGCCUCAAGUGGACUUGAGGCACAUCUUUGAUAAAUGAAGAGUGUGUUGUUAAUAAAAAGAAGAAAGGUGAAAAGAGUAGAAAGGGAGAGGUAAAUGGGAAUUCACGGGAACAUUAUUAGAGGGUCCCCGUUGUCAAUUGUCAUUAUACGAAACCGGCUGCAAAUACACUGUGUUCCUCUCUGCACUCACUACUCUGAAUGUGCAGAGUCCCCGCAGUUCUCCGCUCGGAAUUUAUUCCCCUUUCAUUCAACUUCACAAAAUGAGGGAAGGGGCCUGUGCUUGUGAUGUGAGAAAGAGAAAGAGAUGUGUAUUAUGUAACACCUCAAAAAUCCAAUCCAACUGAGUCAAACACGCCAACCAGACUAACCCUAUUUUUUUCGCCUGUUCCCUGCAACUCAGACACGUUUCCACGUGGGGUUCCUUCUCCAUUCAUUCAUUCAUUCACCUCACAACACCACCAUCUUCUCCUCCACUUUAAUUCACUUCUUCACGCCUCUCUAAUUAAAAGUUACGGUUUGAAUGAGGGGGAAUACUAGUAGAACUCAAAUUUGAUUUGCUGCUAACAUUUAUGGUAACAAUUACGGUGUCAGGCGCCGCUCAGCUAUAUAUAUGCAGUACAAGUGAAUAGGGCAUACGUCACGCUCCCCAGUUUAGCUCCACCCUGCGCUCAGCACUCAGGAGGCGGCUCUGCCUCCCUACUUAACCACCUCUUAUUGUUAUUGGGCCCCACCUCCUCCUCAGCCGUUAGAUCAACAGUGUGGAACCAAAACAACAAUCACACGGUCCACAUGAGGACUGUGUUGUCGCUAGCACCCAAUACAAAAGAGCCGUGCCGUCCAACCGACGAUUACGCGAGCUAGGUGGAGACUGGAGAGAGUGCUUUGUGGGUCCUGCACAUUUUCACUCUACUUUAGUGUUGAAUUAUUUCAGCCACACCAAUGACCUUUUCUUUUAAUAAACUACUGUCCAAAUUAAUUAGAAAUUUAGUGUAUGUUUUCAUGAACUCCAACAGCAAAUUGAUAAGCUACAGGUGUUUAUUUUUGAGAUUAUUGUUAUUCUCUCGAGGAAAGAAGCUGGCGGAUUAGUUGAAUUUUUAACAGUUAAAUAUGUCAAAUCUUGAUACUAACUAGGAUCAUUGGCUUUCCAUAUUCUAUAGAUUAUCAUAACGUUAGUUAAAAAAAUAGGAAGUUACAUUACUGUGACAUUGUUUCAAAUUAACAAAUAAAAUAAACAAUAUCAUACAUACUACAUUUUUUUUCGUAACUUAUUGAUAAGAUAAUUAAAAAACUGAGUUUAGAUACUCUUUUAGAGAUAAAAAGUAUAGAGUUUAGGAAACGAAAUAGAGAAAGAGAAACAAAAAUAAACAUAUUUUGUUUUCAUUUUCAAAAAAUAAAGAAUAAUUUUAUGUCUUUAUUUUUAUGUGUAUAACUAAAUUAAAUAAGUUUUUUUNNNNNNNNNNNNNNNNNNNNNNNNNNNNNNNNNNNNNNNNNNNNNNNNNNNNNNNNNNNNNNNNNNNNNNNNNNNNNNNNNNNNNNNNNNNNNNNNNNNNNNNNNNNNNNNNNNNNNNNNNNNNNNNNNNNNNNNNNNNNNNNNNNNNNNNNNNNNNNNNNNNNNNNNNNNNNNNNNNNNNNNNNNNNNNNNNNNNNNNNNNNNNNNNNNNNNNNNNNNNNNNNNNNNNNNNNNNNNNNNNNNNNNNNNNNNNNNNNNNNNNNNNNNNNNNNNNNNNNNNNNNNNNNNNNNNNNNNNNNNNNNNNNNNNNNNNNNNNNNNNNNNNNNNNNNNNNNNNNNNNNNNNNNNNNNNNNNNNNNNNNNNNNNNNNNNNNNNNNNNNNNNNNNNNNNNNNNNNNNNNNNNNNNNNNNNNNNNNNNNNNNNNNNNNNNNNNNNNNNNNNNNNNNNNNNNNNNNNNNNNNCUCAUAUAUUAACUUUAUCACUUUGAUGGUAAUGUAGUUCUUUUUGGUUGAGGGAAAGUGAAACAAUAAUCAGCCUGCAAAAAUAAAUUAAAGGAAGCUUGAGUCUGCUUUAAACUUGACGUUUGUCAUGUCCAUGGCGUCUUCCUCUUCUUGUGGCUCUCGCGAGGGACACUACAGAGGGGUCAGAAAGAGACCAUGGGGUCGCUAUGCCGCCGAGAUACGCGACCCUUGGAAGAAAACUAGGGUUUGGCUCGGCACCUUCGACACACCCGAGGAGGCAGCCAUGGCCUACGACGGCGCCGCUCGUUCCCUCCGUGGACCAAAGGCCAAGACCAACUUUCCCCCGUCGCCGCCGCUGGCCACCGCCCUCGAUCUCAGCAUAGGAACGUGCUGGCCCCCCGUCCCAUCACGCCGUGUGGCGCUCCGUGAGUUUCUCCAAACUAGCAUCCUCCGUGAUCAUCGUCCACCACCACCUCCUCCUGCUGCUGCUGCUCAGACACUGCCGGCAGUGGCUGUGAGUGAGGGCGGAUCCCACCAUGUACUGGAGAGUUCUGAGAUGACGUCGUUUUUGGGAGUGACUGGGCGCGGUCUUCCCGUGGAUCUGAACGAGCCUCCACCUUUGUGGCUGUGAGCGUGCGUGCCUACGUGUCAACGUGUGGGUGAGUAAUAUUUUAGGCUUCGGAUGACGUCUUUUUUGCACUCCAUUGUGUCUUCCAUUCUCAUGGGAGUUAUUUCUAUCUCUCUAUCUAUCUAACAUCUAGACUUAGAUUAUAUCAGAAAUCUCAUGUAUAUUAUUCAUGUGUUCCACAAUGUCUGUACCAAACUUAAUUAAUUGCGGCUUGCUAUUUCAUAUUUCCUUCUUUGUUUAAAUUCUUGACGGAGCCAACUUCAACUGUUGCUUCGAGGUUUGUUAGAAUUAUGAACUUAUUAUUAUGUUAUUAUCUUGAAGGCAGUAUUUAGUAGUCAUGACUCAUGAGUGAUAGCUUUUUAGGUAAGUGUAAUUAGGUGCUCAUGCAGGGAAAAUCGUAACUUACAAAUAAAAGAAAACAGAGAAAAGCUAGGUGAUAGUUUCUUGUAUCUUUAAUCGCGGGUUUUGGUCGGCUAAGGAGGAUUAUAUUAAGGAAUGGUGUGAUUGUGUGGUAGCACGCGCCAUGCAAUGGAGAGUGGAAAUGGAUUGGAUUGUUUUGAAUUUUUGCACCGUGUGUUGCUCCAUCCUUACACCCGCUUCCAAUUCAAGGCGCGUGUUUUUGUUAAUGGUUUAGGGGCCGGUACUGGUGGACGGUGUGGUUUGUAUAGUGAAAGUGUAAGAUGGGACCACUUUGCAUAUUCAUGCAAAGUAGCCUACCCCUCUUAGUUUGACUAGAAUUUUGGAUUUUGCAUCAGUCGCAUUAUUGCUCUAUAUGCCCAUAUCAAAUCUCCCAAGAUAAUCUUCUUUAAUUUAAUUAUCCACAUAAAUUAUAUUUUAUCAUAUAAUAAUUAAGUACAAUAUUUUAAAAAGUAUAAGAUAAAAUAUGAUAUUAAAUUAUUAUAAACUAAAAAAAUUAAAUUAAUAACUAAAUGAUAAAUUCUUAUGAUGUCCUAAUAUUUCUAUUUCAUAUUAGGGUAAACACAAACCAAUUGGGGAAGUAUAUACAUUGUUAUAAAAUCAUAUCAUAUAUCAUAUAGUAAUUACUAAAUUAAAGGUGAUGAAAAUUAAGAAAUUGUUAUCACGUACAUGUCAUGAAUUAUGACUAGCAUAAUACUGAUAAUAUGACUUAUCAUUUUAUGCUUAUAAUUUUUUUGGUAUAAAUAAUUACUCUAACAGUAUUAAGAAAAAUAUUUUUAGAAAAUAUUCAAAAAUCCAAAAAAUAAAACUUUUUUAUAAAUGGAAAAUGAUUUAUGAAAAAUGUUAUUUGUACACCAAAAUCAGCCACUAAAAUCAGUCACCAAUGUAUUUAUAAAUAUAUGUGUGGUUUAAUUUAUUUUCAAUGUGUAUUUAUAUUUCAACAUAUAUUUUAUACUGAUGGCUGACUUUAGUAGCUAAUUUUGGUGUACGCAUAGCAUAACCCAUGAUUUAUGCAUGUGUUUGAUAUGCAUUUAAAUGAUAACAUUUGAAUGAUGCUUGCAUCAUGCAAAAAAUCGAAGGUAAAGUUCAAUCUUUACAACUAUUUUUUUCAUUUUUAAAAGAGUAAUUCUUGGCAUACAAGCGAUUAAGGCUUGUAAGCCUUACAAGUUCAAUUAAAACUAACGCUCAAAACACGCUUCGAACCAUUCUUCUUCCUCUUCGUCUUCUCCUUCUUCUUUUCUUUCGUUUCUUGCCUUUUUCUUCUUGCUGCACGUUCUUCUUCCUCUUACUCUUCUUCUUCUCCUUUUCUUUCGUUUCUGCACGUUCUUCUUCAUCGUCUUCCUCUUCUUCUUCAUUUACGUUCUUUCUCUCUGUUUUAUCUUCUUUUUUUUUUCGAUUUUUCAUGGUGAAAUCGUUUUUGAAGAAGAAGAAGCAGUAAAAAACGAGGAGGAGAAAGAAAAAGAGUUCUGAAUUAUGCAUAAGAUGUAUUUUAACAAAUUUUGGGUGUAUUUCUUUAAAUCUUUUGGGUGUAUUUUCUGUAAUGCUUUGGGUGUAUUUCUAUAAUCGUUUGGGUACAUUCCUGUAACCGUUUGGGUGUAUUUUUGUAAUCAUUUUGGGUGUAUUUCUGAAGUUCCAUUAUCUUCAAAAGGAUUACAGAAAUACACCCAAAAGAUUACGAAAAAUACACCCAAAGUAUUUAAGAAAUACACCCAAAAUUCGUUGCAUAAUUCAGAACUCUUUCUCUUUCUCCUCAUCUUCUGCUGCUUCUUCUUCUUCAAAACGAUUUCAAAGCUUGAUUUCAGAAACUAUGAAAAUCGAAAAAAAAAAAAACGAAGAAGAAGAGGAGGAGGAGGAGGAGGAGGAGGAGGAGGAGGAACCGUUCUGAGUGUAGCGCUUUAAAAAUAGGAAACGUUGAAUAACGCAUUAAAAGGCCUAAUAACUUGUAAGACUUGUAAGUCAAAAAGACUUGUAUGUAUAGCACUCCUCUUUUUAAAAAUACUUUUGGUCAUUCACAAAAAAAUGCGUAAAAUCACCAAAUUUCAGAUAUAAAAAAUAUUAUCUUUCUAGUAUCUAAUUAUGCUUAAAAAUAACUAUAUCUAGUGUAUUUAGAUAUAUCUAUCUAAUCACUUUUUGUCACUUUUUAAAUUUUUUGACAAAUUAUUUGUCCUUCAUAUAUAUUCUUUUAAAUUAUUUUUUAUCAAUAGUUAAAAAUGUCAGUUUAAUUAAAUUCGUUAAAUUAUCUAACGAUUAUAAAUGAGUAUUCAACGUAAAUAUGGGGCAGAUACUGCAUCCAAAAUAUGUUCAUUUACAUACCAAAGUAUCCUUAUUUGAGAAACAAAAUUUUUCUCCGAAAUGAUGAUUAAUUAUUAUUCAAGGAAUAUAGACGGCAGAAAAAUAAACGUGGGAAGAUUCGAGUGAGAAGGCCCCUCGCCAGUGAUGAGCAGCAGAUUCGUAGGCAAUAGACACGUACAUCACGACGCGGGGGUGGUGCGGUCUCCGACAUUACGCCCAAACAAAAUCGCGCAACUUUUGAUUUUGGAUAACAAAAAAGUAAAAAAUAAAAAAUAUGGAAACCAAAAGAAAAAUAGUGGGAAAGGAGAACGUUGGCCUUUGGUCUUUGGUAUCUGUCAUUUUCGCUGUUUUUUGUUUUGUGGUGGUGCGUGGUGUGGUGUCCAUGAUAUCAAUCACAGCGGCGGCGCACCCAUUUUUUCUUAACUUCUCUUUAACCAUACUUCUUUCAUCUUUCUUUAAGGUUGCUUAAUUUUCGUGUGUUAGUGCAAAUUUAAGUGCAGUUAAUUCUACGAGAAAGUUGAUAAUUCAGAGAUAUUAGAUAAAAAUUUAAUCAAAUUAAUUUAAUUAUUUAACGAUUUUCACUUAUAAAUUUUAUGCGAAAUUAAUGGUAACUGAAUUUUCACCGAUUUAAAUAUAUGUAAAGUUAAUUAUGUUAACAUAAAAAUGAAUCAACAGAUUUUUUUUUUUUUAUAACAGAUGUUUUGUUUUUCAACUAAUUUACUCUAGUUGAUUACUCUCUUAAUUAAUUCCUUAUCCCUUCUGAAAUGUAUGGGACAUUUUUUCUAUUACCAAGUACAGAAGACAAAAUAGAAAAUACAACAAAACUAGCCAGAAAGCCAGAGCGAGACAGCUCUGUCCCAUGAGUUUGCUAGAAUUUCUAAUUUCUAAUCAAUGACAAUAAAGGAACUCUGUCGUGGCAAUUUAGGCCCAUAGUUUUGGACAUUUACAGCUUGUGUAGGUAAACUAGUUUAGACGAUUUAACUUGUAUGUAUUUCACUAGAGUUAUGUAAACUCCAUGAUCAAAUUUCUGGGUAUUAUUUGAUAAAAAAUUAUGUACACAAUAUUUAAAUUGUAGUAGUGUAUUGGAGCUACAUAAAAUGUGUGGAAGUGGCUGUCAAAAUUAUUAAACAAUUUUAAACAGUAAAAAUGGCAUUACUCUUAUGCAUACGUACACAUGCAUCAGUACCUGCCUGAUUCACAUGCAUCAGUUGAACGCUUCAGCUACAGAAAUUUGCAUCCUGGUAUCACAGAAAGCCAAAUCAGUGACAAAGAAGUAGCGAUUAUAAAAUCAAUUAAGAUGGUCGGCGAUCUUCACAUUCUAACCAAUUAAUUGGAUAUAUAUUAUUAUAUGAGUGAUUAAAAAUGUCAAAGUGUCCGCCCAUUAUAUUGCCAACUAAACUCAUAUACACAGUACAUAUUUUACAACAUUAAGGUUACUUGUAUGUUUAGAAUUUUUCAUAAUUUAUGUAUAGCAACUAUAAUAAUAAGGUAACUAGUUGGUGCCACCACUGGCAGCGAUGAUUGAUACAACAGAUAAAAAGACAAACCAAAGGUGCAGUCAAUACAUAAAUUAAACUGUAGUGAGGCAUGCGCAUGUGAAUUUUUUAUCAUUAGUCAUUAGAUCGAGGUGAGAAAAACGACAAGGAGUUACUUCAUACUACUCUUGAGGGGAUUAUAUAUUCUAUCUCAUGAGGAACCCAAGGUCGACACAAAUUUUAAGCAGAUUAAGAAUGAAGAACUUUAUGAGUUAGAUGAUUAAUCGUGUUAGGUCGCAUUGCAUUAUAUAUUGGCUCCUAGAACGCUGAAUGCUACAACGUGCUAAUGAUUAGUGUCAUUAUUAUGAAUCUGUAAUAUAAAUGCUUGAUGCGGCGCCAAACUCGAGCACGCACGGAGUGGCAACCAAAAUAAAGCUUUAUUGGCAUCGAAAACUAAAGGCAUAUAUGAUACCUGGAGUUAUAUAUAACUGGGUAAUUAAUAUAAUAAUGUUGAAUUAUUAUUGAUAACUUGUAGCCAUGUAGCUGCGUGCCCUAAUGAAAACGGGCAAUUGCCACGCACGAAACAUUGAAAGAUUUUUUUGAAUCCCAAAUCCCAGGCUAGCUUCAAUCCAUGAAGGAUUCCCCAAGCCUCCACAUUUCCUGAGAGAAAGCUCCAUCUGUGUUGAUUUUUAGCUAUCCAUCUUCAGGAGAAUAUGUAUCUCUUUUUUCUUCCUUGUUCCCGUAAGUAGAUUCACUUUUUCAAAGGCACUUGUUGAUCCUCUGUAAGUAUUCUUUGAUCCAUAUCUGUGCAUUGUUUGGUCUUCUAAAGGGUCAAAGAUCUCCUUAUUCCUCCAUUUCCAUGUCACUACAAAUACAAAUUGGGAUAGCCAUGGUUCUUGUGCAACUUUCUCAUUCCUAGCCCAAUAUGGCACUUUCCUCUCUCUCUUUCUAACAAUUGGGCCAGUCUCACUAAUCUCUUCUUCCUCCAUCGUUGGGCUCAGCUGAUGAGAUGGGCUUAGGGUCCCAUUUUAUAUAUUUUUUAUUUUUAAAUAUUAAAAAAUUGAUUAAUAAAAUUUUGUUUAUAUCAUAUCUACAAAUGAUACAAACAUAUUUUUCUUUCUUUUAAAACGUGCCUAUAUAUAGGCAAGAAAGAAAGCAAAAGGCCGUUGGCCCCCUACUAGUUUUAUAAUGAUUGAUAUAUAUCGUAUUUAAGAAAAAUGGUGAGUUUAAAUAAUUGGUUGUUCUCAUUUUUUUUUUUAUCUCUCAGGGUAAUUAUUUGUGCUUAUUAUUUUUCUUGUGCUACAUGAGUAUCACAAAAAAAUGAAAUAGAGGAUGUAAUUUUUAAAGCUAUAGAAUUUAAGAGAUUAAAGACACCGAUUUCUGUUUUGGUAAACUGGUAGUGUCUAAAAAAUAUAUUAUUUAACUUUCUAAAAACAUGUGCAGGUGUAAAAAAGAGAAAAGAAAAUUAGAAGAAAAAUGAUUAUUGUUUAUUGUUUAGUUGAAAAGAAAAAUUAAAGAGAAUAACAAAAUUGAUGGGAUAAUAUUUUUUUAUUUUUCUUUCAUCUAAAUAUAUCUAAAGAAAAAAAAAUUACUUAAUUUCUUUUCUUUUUACUUCUUUUUUUAUUUUUUUCUUUCUAACUAAACAGAGCUAAAAGGACAUUUUACUCAAAUAAAAUGUUUGAUGUUGUGACGAGAAUGGAUAAGGAUGAUGGAUGCCCAUUUAUGAGGGUACAUUUUUCCUAUGUUGAAAGAAAUAAAUGAAGUUUGAAAUGUAAACUGUGUGCCUAUAAAUACAUGUACUGAAGCAAAGAGGGGAUACACACACAAAAGCAAUAAAUAAUUCUCUCUCUCUUUAUAUUUCUUUAUUUAUCUAUUUAGUUAUUUUAUAACACGUUAUCAGCACGAAACUCUAACGAAAUUAUUAGGAAGACAUCAGGUAACAAAUUUUUAUUAUGUCGAAUCUCUUUCAUCUUGAAUAUAAUACUUUUGAUAUAUCUGAAAAUAAUUAUUUACCAUGGAUAUUAUAUGCUAAAAUCUAUCUUGAUUUCAUGGAUCUUGGAGAUACCAUUGAUGAUGAAAAUAAUACAUCCUAGAAGGAUAAAAGCCAAAACCAUGAUUUUUCUUCGUCAUCAUCUUGACGUAGAAUUGAAAAAUGAAUAUCCCACAUUAAAAGAUCCUGCAGAUAUGUGGAAAGACCUUGAAGAAAGGUACAAUUAUCAAAAGACGAUGAUACUUUCUCAAGCCUGAUAUGUUAGAGAAAAUUUUCUCGACCUUCCAUGUCUCGAAUGUGCUCCUGCAGCAGCAGUAUUGAGAAACAGAAUUUAAAAAUAUUCUGAGUUUAUUUCUUGCUUUAUUGUUGCUGAACGCAACAAUGAGUUACUCUUAAAAAAUCAUGAAGCGCGCCAAGUUGGCGCCGCCCCAUUUCCUGAAGUAAAUGCGGCAAAUCAUUACCCCAGAAAUGGUAAAUGACAAAGUUUUAGUAGCGAGAAAAAUUAUGGAAGGAAAAUGAAUUAUGUUCACAAAGGAUCUCACCAGAAGUGGGAUAAAGAAAGAAAUAAUAGGCAAAGUAAAUCAAUUGAGGAUAAAUACUUCCGUUGUGGUGGAAAGGGCCAUUGGUCACGUACCUGUCGUACCCCAAGGCACCUAGUUGAUCUUUAUCAAGCAUCCUUGAAAAGGGAUGACAAAGGAAAGGAAAUAAUUUUUGUUUCAAAUAAUGAAAAUUCCACCACUCAUUAUGAUGUAUCUAAUUUUUUUAAGGAUUCUAAAGGAAAUAUUGGCUAUUUGAUCAAUGAUGGAAUAGUUUAAUAUGUGUGUUUGCUAACUAUUCAUAUGAAUAAUUUUAUUGUGCAUGUACUUUUACUCAUUUUAUUAUUAUUAUUAUUAUUAUUAUUAUUAUUAUUUAUUUUUGAAGAAAAAUGGCAAAGACAUAUUCUGAAGAUAUUUGUCUUGCGGAUAGUGCAAGUUCGCACACUAUUCUUAAAAGUAAUAUAUAUUUUACUCAUCUUGUGCCAAAAGAAGAAAACGUUAAUACUAUUAUUGGCUCAGGCAAUGUGAUAGAAGGUUCCGGAAGAGCUAUAAAUUUGUUUCAUGGAGGAACAAAAUUUAUAAUAAAUAAUGCACUAUUGUCUACCAAGUCUCGAAGAAACUUGUUGAGCUUUAAAGAUAUUCGUCGAAAUGGAUAUCAUAUUGAGACUAUGAAUGAGGAAAAUCAUGAGUACUUAUGUAUCACAACUCAUGAUUCAAAUAAGAAAGUUAUAUUAGAAAAGUUGUCCUCACUUUCAUCUGGGUUAUAUUAUACAAAGAUUAGUGCAAUUGAAUCACAUGCCAUUGUAAACCAGAAGUUUACUAGCCCAAAUAAAUUCAUAACUUGGCAUGAUAGAUUGGGUCAUCCGGGAACAACCAUGAUGAGGAGAAUUAUUGAAAACUCCCAUGGACAUUCAUUAAAGAACCAGAAGAUUCUUAAAUCUAGUGAAUUUUGUUGUGUUGCAUGUUCUCAAGGGAAGUUAAUUUUAAGGCCAUCACCAGUAAAGAUUGGAUUUGAGUCCCCUGAAUUCCUAGAAAGGAUUCAAGGUGAUAUAUGUGGACUUAUUCAUCCACCAUGUGGAUCUUUCAGAUAUUUUAUGGUCCUAAUAGACGCAUCUUCGAGAUGGUCACAUGUGUGUUUAUUGUCUUCUCGCAACCUGGCGUUUGCGAGAUUACUGGCUCAAAUUAUUCGAUUAAAAGCACAAUUUCUAGAAAAUCCAAUCAAAGUAAUUCGCCUUGAUAAUGCUGGUGAAUUUACUUCCCAAGCUUUUGAUGCUUAUUGUAUGGCUAAUGGAAUAAGUGUUGAACAUCCAGUAGCUUAUGUUCACACACAAAAUGGGUUAGCAGAAUCACUUAUUAAACGCCUCCAAUUGAUUGCUAGACCCUUGCUUAUGAGAACAAAUCUCCCAACCUCGGUUUGGGACAUGCUAUUUUACAUGCCGUAGCACUUAUUCGUUUGAGGCCAACGAGUUACCAUCAGUUCUCUCCUAUGCAAUUAGCUUUUGGUCAGCAGCCAAAUGUCUCCCAUUUAAGAAUAUUUGAGUGUGCGAUAUAUGUUCACAUUGCACCACCUAAUCACACUAAAAUGGGACCCUAAAGAAAAUUGGGGAUAUAUGUUGGAUAUGAUUCUCCUUCUAUAGUGAGGUAUCUUGAGAUACAAACGGGAGAUGUAUUUAAAGCCCGGUUUGCGGAUUAUCAUUUUGAUGAAUUAAAAUUUCCAACAUUAGGGGGAGAGAAUAAGCUUCCUGAAAAGGAAGUUAAUUGGAAUGCAUCAUCGUUGAUGCAUUUAGAUCCUCGAUCAGGGCAAUGUGAACUAGAAGUUCAAAAGAUUAUACAUUUGCAAAGAAUAGAAAAUGAAUUGCCUGAUGCAUUUUCCGAUACAAAGAGGAUAACCAAAUCUUAUAUACCAGCGAAAAAUGCCCCAAUUCGAAUUGAUGUCCCAGUAGGACAAGUAGCCACUGAAGCAAAUUCACGCCAAAAGCGUGGCAGGGCGGAAAAUGCCCCAAUUCAAAUUGAUGUCCCAGUAGGACAAAUAGCCACUGAAGCAAAUACACGCCAGAAGCGUGGCAGGCCUGUUGGUUCCAAAGAUAAAAAUCCUCAAAAGAGAAAAGAGGUAAAUACUAUUACUGUUGAAAAAGACAUAGUAAAGACACCUGCAGUUGUCCAAAAUUCUGAUAUAAUUUUAAUGCCAGAAGACGUUCAGGUACCUGAAAAUUGUAAAAAUGAUGAGAUCUCGAUAAAUUAUGUCUUUACAGGAGAGAAAUAGGACCGAAAUAAGACAAUUGUCAAUGAAAUAUUUGCAUAUAAUGUGGCAUUAAAUAUCAUGCAUGAAAGUAAGGAUCUUGAGCCAAGAUCAGUCGAAGAAUGUCGACAAAGGAAUGAUUGGCCAAAAUGGAAAGAAGCCAUGAAGGCUGAAUUAGACUCACUUGUAAAACGUGAAGUCUUUGGACCUGUAGUCCGUACACCUGAAGAUGUAAAACCUGUUGGAUACCGAUGGGUAUUUGUGAGAAAACGAAAUGAGAAAAAUGAAGUUGUGCGCUACAAAGCCUGACUUGUGGCACAAGAUUUUUCACAAAGGCCCGGUAUAGAUUAUGAAGAAACGUAUUUCCCUGUAGUGGAUGCGAUAACAUUGCAUUAUUUGGUCAGUUUAUCUGCAUAUCAUAAAAUGCAUAUGCAUUUAAUGGAUGUGGUAACAACCUAUUUGUACGGCUCAUUAGAUCGGAAUAUCUAUAUGAAAGUCCCUGAAGGACUAAAGAUAUCUAAACCAUCCAGUGAAUAUUCGCAAGGGUUAUACUCAGUUAAAUUGCAAAGAUCAUUAUAUGGUUUAAAGCAAUCUAGACGAAUGUGGUAUAAUUGUCUUACUGAGUAUCUGGCCAAAAACGAAUUCAAGAAUGAUGAUAUCUGUCCAUGUGUUUUCAUAAAGAAAACCGCAUCUGGAUUCAUUAUAAUUGCUGUGUAUGUUGAUAAUUUAAAUAUCAUUGGGACUCUUGAAGAGAUUCCAACAAUUAUAAAAACUCUGAAAGAAGAGUUUGAGAUGGAAGAUCUUGAAAGGACUAAAUUUUGUCUCGGCUUGCAGAUCGAGCAUACAAAAAAUGGGAUCUUUAUUCAUCAAGCGACAUACACAGAGAAGAUCUUGAAAAGAUUUUAUAUGGAUAAGUCACAUCCUUUGAGUACCCCAAUGAUUGUAAGAUAUUUGGAUAUGGAAAAGAAUCAAUUCCGUCCUAAAGAAGAGAAUGAAGAUAUCCUUGGUCUUGAAGUACCAUAUCUUAGUGCCAUUGGAGCGCUAAUAUAUCUUGCCAAUAAUACGCGACCUGACAUAUUAUUCGUGGUGAAUUUACUAGCAAGAUAUAGUUCCUCUCCAACCAGAAGACAUUGGAGUGGAAUCAAACAGAUCUUUCGAUAUCUUCAUGGAACGGUUGAUAUGGGAUUGUUUUAUCCCUAUGGAUCCAAGUCACAAUUAGUUGGCUAUGCAGAUGCUGGAUAUUUGUCUGAUCCACAUAAAGGGAGAUCUCAAACAGGAUACAUAUUCACAUAUGGUGGUACAGCUAUAUCAUGGAGGUCCACGAAACAGACGAUAGCAGCAACCUCCUCUGAUCAUGCUGAAAUACUAGCGAUACACGAAGCAAGUCGCGAGUGUUUUUGGCUCAGGAGUGUGAUCUAAUAUAUUCUGUCAUCAUGUGGACUGAUUAAUCAGAAGAUAGCUCCAACUAUCCUGUUUGAAGAUAAUAUAGCAAAUAUUGCUCAACUUAAAGGCGGAUAUAUCAAAGGUGAUAGAACAAAGCAUAUUUCUCCCAAAUUCUUCUUCACUCAUGAUCUUCAAAAUCAAGGGACAAUUGAUGUCCAACAGAUCCGCUCAAGUGACAAUCUAGCAGAUUUAUUUACAAAGUCACUCCCAAAAUCCUCCUUUGAAAGAUUGGUACAUGAGAUUGGGAUGCGCCGAUUUCGAGACAUCAACUGAUGUCGACAAGAGGGGGAGACUGUACUCUUUUUUCCUUGGUAAGAUUUUUUUCCAUUGGGUUUUUCUUGACAAGGUUUUUAAUGAGACAGUCCACAUCACUAAAGGAUAUUGUACUCUUUUUCCUUCACUAAGGUUUUUUCCCACUGGGUUUUUCUUUAGUAAGGUUUUAACGAGGCAAUAAUCCUAAAUGGUCAUCCAAGGAGAGUGUUGUGACGAGGAUGGAUAAGGAUGAUGGAUGCCCAUUUAUGAGGGCACAUUUUUCCUAUGUUAAAAGAAAUAAAUGAAGUUUGAAAUGUAAACUUUGUGUGCCUAUAAAUACAUGUACUGAGGCAAAGAGGAGAUACACACACAAAAGCAAUAAACAAUUCUCUCUCUCUUUACGUUCAAUACUUCUUUCUCUCUCUCUUUAUAUUUUUUUAUUUUAUAUUUGUUACCUCUUCUUUAUUUAUUUAUUUAGUUAUUUUAUAAUAUUUGAAAUGAUUAUUUACUUAAAUACAAUAUUUGCCAUUCAUUUAUAUGAGUGUCCUGUUUUAUUAUUAUGUAAACCGUGGUAGGUAACCACGGUUUCUAAUUUAAACAUAAAUCGUGAGAGGUAGGGACGGUUUACUUGUAGGAAACGUUGAGCAUAAACCGCGGUUGCUUACCAUAGAAUAUGCAUGGAAAAAUUUGGUAGAAACCGUGGGUGGUCACCACGGUUUAUGAGGAAACAUUGUGAGCAUAAAACCCUGUUGGCUACCAAGGUUUAUGCUUUGAGUAAUAUAAAAUUAUGUGACAAACGAAUAAUAGUAAAUUAAUUAAUUUUUUGCUAUAUAAAUUAAAAAAUUAAUAAAUGUCAAAUCAAGUAUUCUAUAUAAUUAAAUAUCAAAUUCAAUACUCUACAUAAUUAAUAGUUUAGGAAAUUAAUAUAUUAAUGUUUUUAAACGAACUUUUUUGCGUCUUAUAUAUAUGCCAAUCAAAUAAAUUGGCCAAUAUUCAAAACAAAUAAUAUUGUAAUAGACAAAAUUAAUAAUUUAAUUUAGUUUCAAAGUAAAUAUUUAGGGUAAAAAAAUAAGAAUAAGCCAUGGGGAGAAAGAAAUAACGUGAAUCAGCCAAAACAAAAUAUGUUUCACCAAUCAACCAAUGCACAAAUAUAUGUAGUUUGAAUCAAUCCGUUUCGAACCUGGAUUGAAUGUAGUUCGAAUUGAGCUGGUUCGAAUUACUCCUAUCUAAUUCGAAUCAAGCUGAUUCGAAUUCCUCUCAUGCACGCCAUGCAACGUAAUUUGAACUGGCUUAAUUCGAAUUACUCCAAGUCUAAUUCGAACCAGGCUGGUUCAAACUAUAAAGGAGCAGAGUUGUAUAUAUAUGUUGUGGACGUGAGUUGCUCUAAUUAGAGGGGUAGAAUGGCUAGUGAGGAGAGUUUUGUGGUGUUGGUUCACCACAGAGAAUCGAUUAAGAAGAAGACACGUUCCGGUGUGAAGUUCACUGAUAAGGAUCCUCUCUGUAUUAUCGUGAGGCCUACGCUAAGGUACGAUGACCUUGUUAGCUCUGUGCUGAUGAAAUUGGGUCUGGAUGGUGUGAAACGGGUUAAGAAGUUCUUCUAUCGCAUUCCGAUCACGGUGCUCCAAGAAACCGUGAAGUAUGAUUGUUUCACGAUCGGGAGUGAUGAGGACUUGCAGGUCAUGUUUCAAUGUCGCCGGCAGUUUCCGGAAGUGAGGACACCAGAGCUGUUGGCAAAGUUGGUUGAUGUGGUAUCCAGCUCGGGGGGUUCAAACCGGAAUACCACCACUUUAGCCACGAUAGCCAGUUCUAGCUCCAAACCUGUCAUUGCUUCUACCUCCGUCCCUGCGUACGAGCCACCCAUCCAGCCUGUCGCCUCCCCUUCCUUCGCUGCCGAUCUCAACGGCAGUGUAGGCGACAAGGUUGGAACAGGGGAAUUUCGGCCGACCUCUUUACAGUGUGCUGCACCGGCUGGGGUUGGAGAGUAAUUUUUGGAUGAUCCAGAGGACGAUGAUGUCAAGCCUGAUAUGAUUGCUGAUGACAGUGGCGAUGAUAUUGGAGCGAGUGAGCCUGCUGGGGCGGGAGGUGGUUCUAGCUCUGGCACACAGCAGUACCCUCCACAUUUUUCAUCCUUGGACUUGGAUGCCAUGAGGCAGGAGGGGGUUUAGCGGCAGCCUACUGGGUUUGGCGCCAGAGAUGCGGACGGGUCUGCAUGUCUGACAGAGUUCCAGGUUGGUCAGCAAUUUCAGGACAAAGAUGAGGCCCUGUUAAGUGUGAAGACUUACAGCAUCCGCCGAGGGGUACAGUACAAGGUAGUGGAGUCUGACUAUCACCGGUAUGUGGGCAAGUGUUCUGAGUUCGGGAAUGGGUGCACAUGGUUGAUUCGGCUGAGUCUCCGGCAGCGCAAGGGCAUUUGGGAGGUCAAACGGUACAAGGGACCUCAUACGUGUCUGGCCACCUCUAUCUCCAGCGACCACAGGAGUUUGGAUUAUCAUGUGAUAUCGGUAUUCAUUAUACCAAUGGUUAGGGCUGAUGCAUCCGUCAGCAUCAAGGUGCUCCUAAAUGCCACGGCCUCACACUUUGGGUUUAGGCCCACGUACAGGAGGAUCUGGUUGGCGAAGCAGAAGGCUGUUGCCCUCAUCUAUGGUGACUGGGAUGAGUCGUACAACGAGCUCCCUAGGUGGGUGUUAGGAGUCCAAUUGACGAUGCCUGGUACUGUUGCAGUCCUUAGGACGAGCCCUGUUCGAGUUGGUGGACAGUUGAACGAGUCUCGAGCUUAUUUUCACAGACUGUUCUGGACGUUUCCACCGUGUAUCGAGGCAUUCCGUCAUUACAAGCCGCUGGUUAGUAUUGACGGCACCCAUCUGUAUGGCAAGUAUGGGGGAACGUUGCUUGUCGCUAUUGCACAGGACGGGAACUCCAACAUACACCCUGUUGCAUUCCGUCAACGUUGCUUGUCUGACGUUUCAUAGUAAUUCGAAUUGCCUCAAUUCGAACUACAUAUAUUUGUGCAUUAGUUGAUUGGUGAAACGAAUUUUGUUUUGGUUGAUUCACGUAAUUUCUUUCUCCCCAUGGCUUAUUCUUGUUUUUUACCCAAAUAUUUAUGUACUAAAUAUCAAAUAUAAUACUCUACAUAAUCAAUAUUUUAGAAAAUAAAAAAAAUUAUUACAAAGCAAUUUAAAAAGAAAAAAAUAAGUUAACAAAAUAUUUAUGGGACUUUUUUCAUUCAAUCAUUAAUAGGUAAAGACAUAUAAAAAAAUAAAAGUAUAUAUCAAAUAAAAAUAUCGUUUUCUUAGUGUCCAAUUUUUUUGGACUAUAUUAACCUUAUAACAAACCAUUUAUUAAAACGAUAUUUUUAUUUGAUAUAUAUUUUUAUUUUUUGAUAUGUCUUUACCUAUUAACGAUUGAAUAAAAAAAGUCCUAUAAAUAUUUUGUUAACUUAUUCUUUUUAAAUUGCUUUGUAAUAAUUUUUUUAUUUUUUAAAAUCAUGAUUAUGUAGAGUAUUAUAUUUGAUAUUUGAGUACAUAAAUAUUUACUUUAAAAUUAAAUUAAAUUAUUAAUUUUGUCUACUACAAUAUUAUUUGUUUCAAAAUAUUGGCCAAUUUAUUUGAUUGGCAUAUAUAUAAGACGCAAGAAAGUUCGUUUAAAAACAUUAAUAUAUUAAUUUUCUAAACUAUCUAAACUAUUAAUUAUACGUAGAGUAUUGAAUUUGAUAUUUAAUUAUAUAGAGUACUUGAUUUGACAUUUAUUAAUUUUUUAAAUUAUAUUGCAAAAAUAUUAAUUAAUUUACUAUUAUUCGUUUGUCACAUAAUUUUUUAAAUUAUGCUCACAAUGUUUUCUUAUAGCAACCGCAGUUUAUGCUCAACGUUUCCUACAAGUAAACCGUCCCUACCUCCCACGGUUUAUAUUUAAAUUGGAAACUAUAGUUACCUACCACGUUUACGUAAUAAUAAAAACAGGACACUCAUAUAAAGAAAUGGCAAAUGUUGUAUUUAAAUAAAAAAUCCUUUCAAACAUUUUAUUUGAGUAAAAUGCCUCAGAAUAAAGAUGCAAUUUCUAAAGUUAUAUAAUUUAAGAGAUUGGAGACACAGAUUUCUUUUGUGGUAUACAGUGAUGUUUGAAAAUCAUAUUUAUCAAUUUAUAUUAUUUAAUUUUUUUUGAAAAAAAAAUCAUAGAUUAGGCUAUUCAUUUUACAUUUUUAAAAAUUAAAAAAAUUUUAAUAUUAGACGGUCCGAUUUGAUUAAUAUCAAUUUAAAAAAACUCUAUAUACAAAGAAUAAGAUUUCCAAUAAAACGUACUACAUAUAUUUAAGAGUAAUUACCCAAAUCAGUCCCUGAAGAUUUUAGAAUCAGACAUUUUAGUCCCCAAAGAAAAUUAAUACACAGAUCAGUCUCCAAGGUUUUACUCCGGCAGACAAAUCAGUCCCAAGUUCAUUUUCCGGCAGAGUAAUUACCCAGAUCAGUCCCCAAAGAUUUUAAAAACGGACAUUUUAGUCAAAAAAAAAACUAAUGUACAAAUCAAUCCCCAAUUUUCUCUCUGUUAGACAUAAUAGUCCUCCGUCCAAAAUUAAUAAAAUUAUUAUUAUUAUUAUUAUUAAUUGCACAAUAAUAUUGUACUAUAUUUUUUAUAUUUUUUAGACAAAAAUAAUAAUAAAUUUAUUCAUUAAAUUCUUAUAUAUAUAUAUAUAGUCACUCAAUAAUAAUAAUAAUAAUAAUAAUAAUAAUAAUAAUAAUAAUAAUAAUAAUAAUAUUUUUUUUUUGGACUAAAAUGUCCGUUUUUAAAAUCUUUGGGGACUGAUCUGGGUAAUUACUCUGCCGGAAAAUGAACUGAGGACUGAUUUGUCUCCCGGAGUAAAACCUUGGGGACUGAUCCGUGUAUUAAUUUUUCUUGAAGACUAAAAUGUCCGAUUCUAAAAUCCUCAGUAACUGAUUUAGGUAAUUACUCUAUAUUUAAUCUAUUUAAAAAAUUAUCCAACUAUUUGAUCUGUCUUAAAGAUAACAGAAAAAAAAAAGUUAAACUCAUCCAUUUAUGAUAGAUUCUUUUGUGAAUAUUUUUAUGUAUAUUCUAUUUUUAUAUUAAGAUUAAUAAAAAUAUUUUUUUAAUAUUUAAAAAAAUGUAUUUUGCAGUAUUAUAAAGAUGAGAGGUAUAUAAAAAAAUUAAAAAAAUUUGAGAGCCAAAUUUAGAUACAAAAAAUUUGAAGAUAAAAUUUAUGGUUAUAUUUUUUAUUUUUUCAAAAUCAGAAAUAUGAGAUUUAGAUUUGUGUAUAUAAAUUUUUAUUAUUUUAAAAUCACAAAUAAGGGAUCAGAUGAGAUUUGUGUACCUAUAAAAUUCUUUCAGAAAAUCUGGCCCUCAAAUCUUUUACUUUCACAUUAAAAUAAAAGCACCCAACUUAUUCAUACCAAUGGAUUACAACUAUAUUUAUCUACUAAAAAAUUAGCUUAAUAAAAAUAUUAGAUAGCCAAACAUUUUAUGCAACAAAGUCUAACUAAGUAUUUUUUUUUUGGUGACUAAAGUCUAACUAAGUAUGGAAAAUAAUCUAAGCAUGUCUCUUGUUACCUUUUUCGUCUUCUGUAUUCUCCUUCUUCUUUUAUUUUUUUUUAUUUUUUUAUUUUUACAUAUUUUUCUCUUCUCUUUUUACGUCUCUUCUUUUAUAUUAUUUUCGUAGUUGUCAUCAUCUUUAAUAUUUUUUUUAUCUUCAUCCUCUUUUUUUUAUGCCUUUGCAUUUGAUUUUUUCUACUAAUCUAUUCAAUUUUAAUCCUUUUUUAUUAUUAGUAUUAUUGUCGUUAUCUUCUUUUUUUUCUUCUCAUAUAUAUGUAUAUAACAAAAUAACUGAGUAUAAUAAUUUUGAUGUAUUGUAUAUAAAUUUUUACAUACAAUAUAAAACUCAGAACAAUAACAACAAAAUAAUUUAUGAAUAAAGAAUUUAAAAUAGUGACAAUAGAAGUAAUUUUGAGUUGUGUAAAAUAUUUUUAUACUGUACCAAUAAAUUUAGAUAUUAUGUACAAAAAUUUUUAUCAUGUGUAAAAAUUUUUGCAUUAUAUCUACAUGUUUAUGUGUUAUGUAUAAUUUUUUUUUUGUUAGAUACAAAAAUUUCGGUAUUAUAUUAAAAAAAAUUAAAUACAUAUAACAAGUUUCAACAUCAAAUUUUAAAUAAUAAAAAAUGACAUAACAAGUCUUAACAAUAUCUUAAAAAACUAACGAUAACAUAACAAUAGAAAUAAAAUUAUAAGUUAGUUAAAAUAAAUAAAUAACAUUUUCAACAUAAAAUAUUUAUUAAAUAAUAAUAAUACAUGAAUAAUAGAAAAAUGUAUAACAAAUUGAACAUAUUAUAAGUAUAAUUGUAAAUAUAAUAAUAAAAUAAUAAUAUUAUAGCACAUUGUGCGGUUUGGAUUGGAUUGGAUCGAUUAUAAAAAGUAGAUCCGAAAUUCGAUCCAAUCCAACGAUUUACAAAAAAUAGAAUCCAAUCAAAUCCGAAUCAGUGCGGUUUUAAUCGGUUUUCGGUUUGGAUCGGAUCGGAUUAGAUGUGCGGUUUAAUUUGGAUCAGUUUGGAUUUAAACACCCCUAGUAUUACGGAAGAAUGAAUAUAAUUUUUAUUAAAAAUAAUUAAUAAAAGAUGAAAAAAAUAUUUGCUUAAAAAAAGGCUAUUAUUCCACGCGUGACGCGUCAAAGUUAGCAAGCAGAAGUGUGUGUGUGUGGAAGUGAGAAUUGAAAUGCAGGGGCCAAGGGGGGAGGGAGGGAGGACAAUUUCCAGCAGCGUUCCGGAUGUUUGACAAAUGGAUAGGCACGUUGACUUUGUUGAAACUUUGUAGCAAAUGCAAUGAAGGAACCUGCAAGAGUGAUGCUGAAGCUAUUAAAUGAACGAACUCAUAACCAUAAUUACUUAAUCAGCAUAGCCAUCAUUGAGGAAUGCCUGUAAGCUCGGAUCAUGCUGCACUGUUAGGGACUCUGUCGCCGCAAUCGGCCGCCGAGAAAGCCGUGCAGGCAAUUGGACUUGGAUAUGACGUGUGCAGGGACAUCCGUUUUAGUGCUUGCAAGGACAGGCUCCUGCAACUUGACCACAACCACACCAGGGACCUGCUGUUCCCUGCCGGCGUUAUCGUUCCCGACGUUCCCACCUCCGUCAAGUGCCACCAAGGCGACCGAUUCAGAGCUUCCUCUGGCCUCCUCUCCUUCCAACAGGUUCACUACUUCUUAAAUUGAAGUUACUACUUGAUGACGCCUAUUACCAAUGCUUCAAUUAGCACUCCAAUUCAAGCCAUACUAGUUAGGGUUUGAUUGCGUUGUAUUGAAGAAAAUAACAUCCUCUAGGCAAUUACUUAAGUAGAUAAAAUUCUGAAGUCAAGCAAUGUCCUAAAAGCUUGCUCAUUUUGCAGAUGUCUGAGUUUUUUAAUGAAAAACUCUCUUUAUCUGGGAAGAUCCCAUCAGGCCUAUUCAAUGCUAUGUUUGACAUGAGAAACAGCUGGAAGAAAGAUGCAGCUUCCACUAAAAGCCUAGCCUUUGAUGGCUGCUUCAUAACUUUGUAUAACGUUGAGUUGGAUACAAAUAAUAGAACCCACUUAACUCUUUCUCAAGAUGUUAAACGAGCAGUGCCUACUUCAUGGAACCCUGCUGCCCUUGCUGAGUAAGUACAAUUCUCCUUCUUCUUGCUCCCCCCUCAAUUUUCUAUUAUUGUUGCUAUUGCUGUUAUUGUUCUCUAUACGGGUAAUAUAAAGUUGUUAUUGUUAAGAUAAUGGAAUCUAUUUGACUAAAAUGUUGUUUGCAGCCACACUUCCUCGCUAGCAGAAAUCGAAAUAUAAAAAUUUUAAAAGACAACAUAUCUUUGGUUCAAUAAUCGUGGAAGUAGCAGUAGCACUUUGAUGCCCUCACGAGUUGAAGUUCUAAGAUUCUAAAACCAGAUGAUUUUGAUUUCCAAGACUGACAACUUAUAAUAAUAUGGAAGAUUUAUAUUUGUGAAAGGGACUAGGGAGGAAUAAACAAAUGAUGAAUUUAUGAAUAAACUCUUAUUAGAUGUCCUGAUUUAUUAGUAACUGUGGCCUUCUACAAGUUGCCGAUUUUGAUGACGAACAAUGAUUAAUUUGUGUAAUGUAUUCAUUUAUAAACAAGAAUCUAAUUUGGAAACAUGUCUUAGCUUUCUUUUUCUUGAACUUUCCUGUUGAUUUUAUGUAAAGCAGAUUCUGUCUGUCAAUUAGCUACCUUGAAAGUUAUCAUUCUUUCCUCUUCAAUAUAUUGGGCAAGCUGAUUCCUGUUUUGUGAUUACACAUGAAAUUUUUAACUGUAUUUGUGCUUAAUUGAACAGCCUCAGUUUGUGUUAUUUGUUGCCUUGAACCUGGGUGUGCACUAAGUCAGACAUGAUUUUUCAGGUUCAUUCAGAAAUAUGGUACUCAUAUAGUGGUUGGCAUAAAAAUGGGAGGAAUGGAUGUGGUUCACAUUAAGCAGUUAAAAACUUCAGAUGCUGGCCCCAAUGAGAUGGAGACAUUGCUUCAGCAACUAGCUAAUGAGAGAUUCUUGGAAGAUUUAAAUAGAAGUUCUAAUGGAAAAACUGUUAAAAUAUCAGGAAAACUACAGGUGCAGAGGAUCAAAUGCAUCUCCCACAUUUUAAACUUUUAAAUAGCUACAUGUAAUCUUGAAAAAUGUGUUAUUCUUGCCAUUUGUUUUGUUAAUUAACAGUAGGGUCAUUAUGAGAGUUGUCAAAUUUACUAGUCCACGGUAGGCUCUACUCUCUAAAAAGUAAAUUCAGAAAGGUCCACUAGUGACAAUGUUUUUUGUUAUCCCACAACAUAAACCAGUUCUUCCAUUUUACUUCCAACAUUAGUUUUUUUUGCUGGUUUGAAUUCUAGUGACUAAUCUCUUUCAGAGAUAUUUUGUGACCUGAAGACACCUUUUGCCUGAUCAACCAACUUAUCUUGGUCACAUCCUUGGUUUGAAAUUCUUUAGUGAGAUGUCCUUGAGUGGUAUAAUUUGUUAAUGGAAACUAUGUCACCAACAUAGCAUAGAAUAGUUGUAGUCUGAAUUUGUUUCUGUUUAGGUAUGUAAUAUAGUCAGUGUUUUCAUAAAUCUACUUUAUCAAAUUUUAGGCCACCUUUUCAAUCAAUAAAGAAGCAAUCAAUUUGACAUAAUUGUAUUUGUAGUUGUAUCACAUGUAAAGUUUCCUUGUGUUGAUCAUUUAUGAAAAGAAGCAAAAGUUACUGGAAUGACAAGUCUGCUUGAACAAUUACCCGCUUUUUGGUUAAAAUAAUAAUGUGAUUAAACAAUACCAUUUUACAAUAUGCAAGGAAGUCUAAGUUUUCAACUGUCUCAUUUGUUUGCAGGAUGAUCAGUAUAUGCCCUGGGAACAGCAUUUAGCUCUCGCUGCUUCUGUUCGACCAAAUGUAACAAGCCACUCCAACAAUGAGGUUAGUGUUAUAUUUAUGACAGUUUGAAAAUGGUUUCUUUGCGCACAGUAUAAUCACCCUGUAUCUUCUUACACUAAACUACUUUGGUUAUUAAAAUUUCUAUUCAAACAGGAUAUCAUAAGCAUCUCAGUUCGAAGGGGAGGUAUUGUUGGCAUUGGGCAACACCAUAAUCAGUGGAUAUCGACAAUAUCUGAGUCACCUAAUGUCAUAUCAAUGUCAUUAGUGCCUAUUACAUCAUUAUUGCCUUCUGAUCGAGGCUAUGGAUUUCUAAGGCAUGCGGUGAAUUUAUAUAUUACAUGUGAGAAAGCAUGUUUCCUUGAACAGUUGUUGGGCCUUUCUCUAGUAGUUUAUUGGUUAUUUAUAAUUUAGGUCGAUAAGGUUGUUGCUACUUGCUUGUAGUUACCAUGGUUAAUUUUGUGCAAUACAAGGAAAUAAUGUUAGGCAUUGAUAGUAGUCUGUCUAAAAGGAACAACCAUGUAUAUAACUUAUCUGGAUCGGAAGCAGUUUAGACAUGCGACAGUGAGCUUAUAGAAUUGGAGGACCAUGAAAGUUUUGAUGUUUUCCUAUUAGGGUAUAAAGGAGAAGAAAUUUGAAAUUUAGACUCCAGUAUUUUUGCAUUUAUAGGUCCAUAUUUCCUGAGCAAAUUCCACAAAGUCUGCAUAAUUGCUAUAAAGAUAGCAUUGUUGCUUAUCAUUAGUAUUUACUAUUUAAUUGGCAAGGUAGUAAAGGGUUUUCUAGGAUAUUCAUUUAGUUGAGGCAGGAUGAUAUUUUGGAAAUUUAAUUUGGAAAUUAGAUACUGAUGUUCAUCUCUUUCGUGAGUAAAGUUUAUGCCUGUAUACAUGGGAAGUCAUUAUAUAAGAUAUAAUUGUAUUGAUUUAUGGAUUGUAAUAUAGGAACAGUUCUUUUUCUGGACCUAGUGUCAAACUCUCAAGUGUCAAUCAAUUAAUGUACCCUGCAGAUAAACCGCCUACAGAGGAACUUCAUCAAUUUCUACAAUUUCAGCUGCCUCGGGAAUGGGCUCUUGGAGUUGGUCCCAGGCGUAGAAAAGGCAAAUCUCCAGCUCUCCAAUUCUCAUUCAUGGGUUCAAAGCUUUAUGUUAAUACUGCAAAGGUAAAGUACGUAUGCUUAUGAUGUGAUGUGAGUGACAGUAAAAAUGGAUAUAAUUUAGUUGAAGUGCUCUCAAAGACUCAAAAGAUGCAUAUCAAAUUGUACUUUGUACCUUUGAACUUAAAUCCCUGUCUUUGAUGAACAGGGAUCAUUGGUCCAUCACUGCUUUUACCAUUACAUUGUAAGUUUAAGACAUGCAUUGCAGGUUAACAGUGGACGUAGGCCCGUAACAGGUAUUCGCUUGUUUUUGGAAGGCAGAAAGAGUGACCACCUGGGAAUCCAUCUGCAACAUCUUGCCAAUCUUCCCAGCAUUAUUCAAAUCUUCGACAACCACGACCUUGAGUAUGCAGAUGAUUCACUUGACAAAGCCUACUUUGAACCAGUUAGCUCCAAAAUGUUUUCACAUGUGUGCACUGCCCCAGUAGAAUGCAAUUCUCAUACUGGAGGCUAUGCAUGCAUCGUGACAAAGGCCUGGUUUGAGGUUAGGCUUAUUAAAAGAAAGAAAGUUCUUUUUUUGAGGCUUGAAUAUUCAAUUUUAUCGUCGUCGAUAAGUCGCAGAGGGGAAUGGAGUGGUACUUCAUCGAUAGUAAGAAAAUCUGGGUUCUUUUCAACAUUGUUGAGCACAAGGCUUAGUAAGGGGUUGCAUCAGAUUGAGACAGAUCCAAAGCCGCUAAAAGAUGAUGCAUCUAACGCAGUAGGUUAUCAUGGUGAGUCUAAUACCGACCAACCUGUGCCGACAAAGCCUCCUAAGAUGUUGAGGUUUGUGGACACCAAGGAAGUUGUCAGGGGUCCAGAAGACAUGCCUGGACAUUGGAUGGUCACUGGAGCCAGGCUCUGUGUACAAGAUGGCAAAAUCUCCAUCAAGGUCAAGCAUUCCUUGUUGGAUUAUCCGGAUAUGGACAAUUAAGGAAUUGCACACACACACAGUGUAUAUAGAACUUCAUAAACUUCAUAUGAAUUAUAUUCAUUGGGAUUUGGGCUUGAUGCUGAGGAAAAUGGUUGCUUAUAGGUUAUUUUUUUACAGUUCAAUUUUACAUGAAAUUGUUUAAAACGGGAAAGUUAUGUUAGAGGAUAUGCUUAUAUGUCUACUAAAAAUUAGUUAUUUGUAUAAAAUAUAUGAUAAUUAUUUUAGUGGUUAAUUUUUUAAGGGUACGUUAUGUUUUUGCCUACCACGCUAGCUAAUCAAAAAAUUUUAGUAAUUUUGACUACACAAAUUUUGAUAAAUAUAAAUACAAACUGUAUUAAUUUAUGUGUAUAAAUUAUAUAUUUUAUGUGUGUGCAUUUUUGUAAAUAUGGGUGUAUAUAAUUGUUAGUCAAAUACUAAUCUAAAAUGAUAAUAUUUGCUUGUCAUUACUUACCAAGUACCAUUGCAGAUAAUUAAAAACUUCUACGAGAAAACUUGAAAAUGAUAGUUUGGAAGAUUUGAAAAACUACAAGAACUUUCAAAUUCCUCAUCUUCUGAAUAAUAACGGAGUUUAAUCCUCUAAAAUCUUUUUCUUUCUUUCAAAAUCAUAAUUCAUGCAUAGAGGAGUCUAAUCUUUUAAAAUCUUUUCUUCUCCUUCAAAAUUCUCUAAAAUCAAACCCCUGAAGACGCAUCGGAAGUAGUCCAUUUCAAUAAUAGUAAAAGAAGUGAAACUUUGAAACAUUUCUCAAAGCCUUUCGUCCUUGAGUUUACUCUAUACAGUUUUGUUAGGUAUGGGAUUGAAGAUGGGGACAGAAUUGUAAAACAAAUUAGAUUAUUAAAUAAUGAUAGAUCCUAUCGAUGACAAAAAUUAAUUCUAGAGCUAUGAAAUCUAUCUACUUAAUUUAAAUAAAGAUUUGGUUAACAUGUGCCUGUAUCUUUAAAAUUUAUGAUAAAAUUAUAUUAUUAAUAAAAAAUUUUAAAUAUUUUUUUAAUAAAUACAAAAUAAAAAUAUUAAAAACUUAAAAAAAUUUUAUGUUCAAUAAAAAAAAUUAAUUUGUAACCUUAACGUCCCUUUUAGAAAACAAAUUAGCUAAUCCUUUAAGUAAUACUAUUUAGUAAAAACUAAAAAGUAAGAAAAAUAGCGUUGAAAUAAUCAAAGGAUUAUUAAUGCAUGUUGUCAUACAAAACAAAACAUUUCGGCAUGACUCAUUGAUUUUCUUAGUUUCCUUUCUUACCAACAAGCAAAUGAAGAAUUGAGUUUGGAAGUGAAGCGAAGCGUACGUGAAAGGCUGAUAAAAGCACAAACCACUUUCAGAAAUUAGAGUGUAGAAUCGACCGAAUGAUUGCAUUAUCGCGUCAAACGAGUUUUUAGCUCUGAGUCUGACAAACCAAUGAAAAUAUGAAAUUCAUGUUUGAAAAGGUAUUGGCUGCGUGUUGUGACGCGUAUAUACUUAGUGUAUAUAACUAACAAAGUAAAGUCUAGUCCUCAGUCUUCGCAAUAGUCAUUGGCAAACUUUUUUUUUUUUUUUUUAACUAUUCACAUAAAAUUGGUUAUAGUUAAAAACAGUUAGGUAAUUUUAGCCACUUGAAUUUUAUUAGGUAUAUUGUUGACAGUGAAACGGAGACUAAUUUGUCUCUAUCUUAUUGACAUUGUCUAUGAGAUAAGGAAAAAAUCAUAUAUGCACUUGUGAUAAAGACAAUAAAAUAGGGCCAAGUGGCCAAAGUAGCCUUGUGAAUGUAAUUUUCACUUGUUUAGUUGACGGGGGCAACGGAAUAGUAGGUACAAAUUAGUAUUCGUUCUUGAAUAUGACUAUAUGAGAUACCUAAUAAAAUAAAAUUUGAAAAAAUUUUCCAGAGUUCACACAAUAUGAUAUAUAAAAAAUAUUUAAAUAAAAAGAUUCUAGUCAUUAUAUUGAUCAUGUAAUGGGUUUAAUUUUACCAAAAUAUUUGAUAUGCCUUCAUGCCAUUAUUGUUUUUCAUUUGCAUCUAAAAUGUUAAUCAGAAUAUAAUUACAUUGGCUUUACAUAAAGAAGUUGAAUAAAAUUUAUAUGAAUCUUAAAAAAAUGUUAGAGAGUUAUUAAAAUUUAUUAUUUUUAAUUAUCAGUUAACUAUUAAUGUUUAAAAAUGUAGAUUAAAGUAUAUUGUUAAAUUAGUAAACUAAAAGAAUUGGAUCGAUUACUAAAAGUAAUGAACAAAAAUAAUACAUUUUAAUGAUCCCCUAACAUUUCUAUUAGUCCUAUACACACGCCAUAAUUUUAAAUUGGAACACUAUUGUGUGUAACUGUGGAUGCCUAUGAACUGAUUGAUGCACGAACAGAAUUUUUUCUCUCUUUCCGGGAAAGGAGUAGUUUAAUACUUUAGUACACAGAUUAUUCCAUUCCUUGGUAAUUUAAUCGGAAAUGAAGCGUUUCUCAUAUCGUGGUUUAUAAUAUGACGAUCUUUGACCAAAGUCCAAAAAGGAAGAAUGGAGAUUAGUUUCCUACUUCCCUUCAUACCCAAAGUAGUCGUAUAAUAUUUCAUCGUAGUUUCAGGGGGGACUUUUAAAAGUUGUAGAAUAUCUUAUUUUAAUUUCUUUUUACGUUGGGGAUAUCUAAUAGUUUAGNNNNNNNNNNNNNNNNNNUUUAGUAUAUGUAUUCAUAUAUUCACAAUCUACUAGAAAUAUCUGAAAAUGCCAAACCAAGCUUAUAUCAGAAAGCCGAAAGCGGCUCAAUACUAUUUAAAACAUAGAAAAUGAAGGAAUGUGUCGAAAGAUAUAAACUAACCAUAACAAAAAGAGUUGAUAUACCUACGUCAUGGCCUUUUCCAGACAGAAAUAUUUUGGAUUAUAUAAAUGUCGAUCGAUGUUGAAAAUUUGAACAGGUUAUGGUAAUUAAAAUUAUUAUCUAUAUANNNNNNNNNNNNNNNNNNNNNNNNNNNNNNNNNNNNNNNNNNNNNNNNNNNNNNNNNNNNNNNNNNNNNNNNNNNNNNNNNNNNNNNNNNNNNNNNNNNNNNNNNNNNNNNNNNNNNNNNNNNNNNNNNNNNNNNNNNNNNNNNNNNNNNNNNNNNNNNNNNNNNNNNNNNNNNNNNNNNNNNNNNNNNNNNNNNNNNNNNNNNNNNNNNNNNNNNNNNNNNNNNNNNNNNNNNNNNNNNNNNNNNNNNNNNNNNNNNNNNNNNNNNNNNNNAUGAUUUUAGUAUAUAUAGUAUGGUUAUAUACUUAUAUAGAAUAUAAUAUUGAAACUUUAUGAUACGUAGUAGCUAGACUCUGAGGUAGGAGUUGCUGUAAUCUGAGAAUAUUUCAUGACGUUCUAAUCAUUUUCCUUCUUCGGAUGAAAGUAAUUGUAUCUUUUAGUUAGUUAGUUUAGGGGUGUAUAUGGUCCGAUUCGAAGGUUCGACUCGACUUCGAACACUUUAUAAGCUAAUUUAGUGUGAUUUUAUCGGGUUUAGGAUUGGAUAAGGGUCUCAAAAAUAGAUCCGGUCAUUAGUUUAAGUUAGGUCCGGGCCAUGGCUCGGGUCACCCGAACUCAAUUCGGUGGCCCGAUCAUCAUAAACAAUUAAUAUUUUGUUUUAUUAGUGAUGGAUGAUGGCUAUUUUUAUCUGGAAUUUAAAUAUUGUAAAUAUUAAUAUUUUGUGUUAUUAGUCAUUAUAAGAUUAUAAAUUAAUGUUUUAUAUUUAAAAUGCAUAAGACUUUAGACUAAUGCAUAAUAUUGUUUUAUUUGUAUUGAUUUAAAUAUUUGGUGUUAUUAGACAAUAUUAGUAUUGAUUAUGGUUAUGUUUUAAUUUUAGAAAAUGGUUGAUUCUUGUUAUAUUUUUUUAAGUGAAUUUUACUAUGUAAAUUGUGAAAUAAUGGUUGAAAAUUAGGUAAUUUUUACAUGCUAAAGACCCGAUUUUCAUCCGAUUUUUACUCGAUACGAAGAUGUAUAGAUUUCAUCGAGUCUAGAAUCGGAUUAGGAUCUAAAAAUUAGGCCCAAUCUAUAUUUCAGAUCGGAUCUGAGUUAAACCAAAUUCAGUGUAGCCCGAGCCAUGUACACCCUAAGUUAGUUUAAUAAAAAAGGGAACAGAAACAGGCAGGGAACUAAUAAAAGUGUGUCUCACCUCACUCAUACUUGAAUUAUUUAAAUAGAGAAAAUUUAGGGAGUCAGCACUUUUAUUAAAAUUUGGUUAGCACUUAUUUAAUAAAAAAAAAUGAAUAAUUCUCUAUUAUUAGAUAAAAUCUCACACCAUUAAAAAUAUUAUUGAUAACUAAUUAAUAAUUACAACUCACAAAAUCUGCUAAUUUCCUAACACUCUUCUAACUACCCUUAAGGGAACCUCAAGUCUAACAAGUUAACAGGAUGAUUCACUACUGCUGACUACUCUGCACUCUGCAGUAUAGCUUACAAAAUUUCAAAUAAAUAAAUCAAAUCUCUUAAUUUUCAUCCAAAUUUAAGUUGCCAAUUAGCUUUUGUCUACUUAAUCGGUAAAUGAUCUAACUUCCUUGUAAUUCUACUACUAAUACAGUAGUGAGAACAUUAUUUCUCAAAGAAUGUUUUAUGAUAAAUAAAAUUUAUUAUUUUUAGUUAUUUAGUCAAUACUUAAAAUUUGAUUAUGCUACGUAUACAUUAAAAUUAAUCAUUAAAAUCGGUCACUAAUUUAAAAUACAUGUUAUUAAAAUAUAAAUACACAUAAAAAAUAAAUUAAUCAUAUAUAUAUUUAUAUAUAACUACAUUGAUAGCUAAUUUUAAUUAUUAAUUUUAAUAUAUGAAUAGCAUUUUCGUUUCAAAUCUUAAAUUUUAAAUCCUCAUCCUAAUAAUAUAUAAGUAAGGUAUUGACAAAAAAUAUUAGUUAAUAUUAAUAAAAAAUAUUAUUCCGUAACGUUUUUCUUAUUUUUGAACUUCGAAUAAAUACAUGUCUUUCACUCCUUUAAUUAAGUUAUUGAAUUGCCACUUGUAGUACGUACUGAUAAUUUCAACAAAUAAUCCUAGUAAUAACGUUGUUCCUACCCUGGCCCAAUAAUAAAGGUCCAGGAUCCAAGCAAAAAGGCCCAACCCAAAGGGUUGGCCCUCACCCAGUACCAGCCUUCAUCCCCAGAAGUCGGUACUGAGCACGGCCGGUUCCGAGAAACUUUAGAAGCCCCGAUAUGGACCUCUACGAUGGAACCACCGAUCCAAAGCAUCAUCUGAGCAACUUUAAAAGUCGGAUGUAUCUGACCGACGCUUCUGACGCUACGCGGUGCAAAGCUUUCCCGACAACCUUGUCAAAAGCAGCGAUGAAGUGGUUCGACAGCCUCCCUCCGAGGUCAAUUACCAGUUUUGAAGAUCUCUCAAGAAAAUUCUUAAUGAGGUUUUCCAUCCAGAAGGACAAAGUAAAGCAUGCACCAAGUCUCCUGGGAAUAAAACAGGAGGUCGGGGAGUCCUUACGGGCCUAUAUGGAAAGGUUCAACAAAGCAUGUUUGGAGAUUCAAGACCUGCCCACCGAAACAGUCAUCAUGGGGCUAGUCAAUGGUCUUAGAGAAGGUCCCUUCUCACAGUCCAUAUCAAAAAGACACCCCGCCUCUUUAAAUGAUGUACAGGAAAGAGCUGAAAAGUACAUCAAUAUGGAAGAAAACGCUAGGCUAAGAGACCCGAGUUUGCGACUCGGGCACCCUCCCUCGACGAAAGAGAAGGAGAGGGAAGCGAAGAAGAAGGAAGAGCUCGGCCUCGAUAGGCCAAGAAAAUAUCACUCUUAUACUCCAUUGAAAGUUCCUGUAGUGGAUGUAUACAGAGAAAUUUGCAAUACUGAAAGGCUGCCUCCCCCCAGACCCAUUAAAAAUAAAAAAGGGGGGAGCCGCGGUGAUUACUGUGAGUACCAUAAGAUAUAUGGGCACUCUACAAACGACUGUUACGACCUUAAAAAUGUGAUAGAAAAGCUGGCCAGAGAGGGUCGGCUUGACAGAUAUCUCAUAGAAAGGUCGGACAGUCAUGGAAAAAGAAAGCGAGAAGAUACGGAUAGAGGAGACCCACCACCACAAACUCCGGAGAGACAUAUCCAUAUGAUCUCAGGAGGGUUUGCGGGAGGGGGACUCACAAAAUCCUCUCGUAAAAGACAUCUCAAGAGAGUUUAUCAGGUCGAAGAGGGGUCCUCCGACCUUCCGACCAUUUCAUUCACAAAGGAAGACGGACGAGGAGUAAUCCCUGGGCACGAUGACCCAGUGGUAAUUACCAUGAUCCUGGCAAAUGCCCAUCUACACAGAACACUAGUAGACAAAGGAAGCUCAGCAGACAUCCUCUUCAAGCCCGCUUUCGACAAACUAGGCUUAGAUGAGAAAGAGUUAAGAGCUUACCCCGACACCUUGUACGGAUUAGGGGACACGCCGAUAAAGCCACUAGGAUUUUUGCCCCUCCACACCACCUUUGGAAAGGGGGAAAAAUCAAAGACUCUGAGUAUAGACUUCAUAGUCAUCGACGUGGGAUCGGCCUAUAAUGCUUUAAUCGGCAGAGCUACCCUUAACCGACUCGGAGCGGUGGUAUCGACACCCCACCUCUGCUUGAAGUUCCCGACCUCGUCGGGGACAGCAACGGUGAGGGGAGAUCAGAAGUUGGCAAGAAAGUGCUACAAUGAAAGCCUAAACCUGAGAGGAAAAGGUAAAGAAGUUCACACAAUAGAACUCGGGGGAGCAAGGGUUAAAGAAGAACUGCGACCACAGCCCGGGGGAAAAACUGAGGAGAUUCAGGUCGGCGAAGAGGAAGGAAAAAACACUCACAUAGGAGCCAACCUAGGGGAAACCCUAAGACAAGGGUUGAUUAAGCUCCUAAGAGAUAACUCAGAUCUCUUCGCCUGGAAGGCCUCCGACAUGCCUGGGAUAGAUCCCGAGCUCAUGUCCCACAAGCUCUCGGUCUGCUCAGGGUCCCGACCUGUGCAACAAAGAAGACGCAAGCUCGGCCCAGAGCGAGCCCUAGUAGUAGAAGAGCAAGUGCAGGCGCUCCUAGAAGCCGGCUUCAUCAGAGAAGUCAAAUAUCCAACAUGGCUAGCCAAUACAGUGCUAGUCAAAAAACAAAAUGGUAAAUGGAGAAUGUGCGUCGACUACACCGACUAGCAGCUCUCUCCAGAUUUCUGGCAGGAUCAGCAUUAAGAUCCCUUCCACUGUUCUCCCUGCUGAAAAAGGGGCACCAGUUUGAGUGGACUCCCGAAUGCGAGGAGGCGUUCCAGGAGUUCAAAAGAUUCUUAAGCCAACCUCCUAUAUUGACCCGACCUAUAGCCGGAAAAGACCUCGUCCUAUACCUAUCCGUGGCAGACAAGGCCGUCUCAGCAGCCUUGAUAAGAGAAGACGAGGUCAGUCAACACCCAAUCUACUUCAUCAGUAAAGUUCUACAGGGCCCUGAGCUAAGGUAUCACAAAUUAGAAAAGUUUGCCUACUCCUUAGUAGUAGCCUCUCGAAGGCUACGGCCUUACUUUCAAGCUCACACAAUAAGAGUCCGCACAAACCAACCCAUGAAGCAAAUCCUCCAAAAAACGGAUGUUGCAGGAAGAAUGGUCCAGUAGGCAAUAGAGCUCUCCGAGUUCGACUUGAAGUACGAGACUCGGACGGCAAUUAAAGCCCAGUGCCUCGCCGACUUCAUUGCAGAAUAUGCAGGAGACAAAGAGGACAAACCGACUACCUGGGAACUCUAUGUGGAUGGAUCCUCCAAUAAAACAGGAAGUGGCGCAGGCAUAAUAUUGGUAGAUGAAAGGGGAACCCAGAUAGAGGUUUCCCUCAAGUUUGAAUUCCCAGCUUCAAAUAAUCAGGCAGAAUACGAAGCCUUGAUCGCAGGAUUGAAGCUGGCUGAAGAGGUCGGUGCUAUGAAGGUGAUGGUAUACAGCGACUCCCAAGUGGUGACCUCCCAAAUAAGUGGAGAAUAUCAGGCAAAGGACCCAAAUAUGAAAAGGUACUUGGAAAAAGCUUCGGAGCUCCUGGGGCGCUUUGCAGAAACCGAGGUGAAACACAUAACUCGGGAUCUAAACAGCAGAGCAGACGCCCUAUCCAAGCUAGCAAGUACCAAGCCGGGAGGAAAUAACAGAAGCCUGAUUCAAGAGACUCUCCAGGAACCUUCAGUGGCAAAAACGGAAGACACACUAGAAGUCUUUGAAGUGGUCGGAUUAAACCUCGGAUGGAUGAACCCCUUAGUCGAAUACCUAAAAUUCGACAUCCUCCCUAAGGAGGAAAAAGAAGCCCAGAAAAUCCGAAGGGAAGCACAACAUUAUACCUUGGUGAAAAAUGUUCUCUAUAGAAGGGGGAUAUCAACACAAUUGUUAAAGUGUGUACCGACCUCAAAAGCCACCGAGGUGUUGGAGGAGGUACAUAGUGGAAUCUGCGGGAACCACCUCGGAGCCAGAUCAUUGGCCAGGAAAGUGAUCCGAGCUGGAUUCUACUGGCCAACCUUACAGAAAGAUGCCACAGAAUUUGUGAAAAAGUGCCAGCCAUGACAGAUGCAUGCAAAUUUCCACGUGGCUCCCCCAGAAGAGCUCAUUAGUAUCACUUCCCCAUGGCCCUUUGCAAAAUGGGGAAUGGAUUUAUUAGGUCCCUUUCCCCAGGCGCUAGGACAAGUUAAAUACCUAAUAGUGGGAAUAGAUUAUUUCACAAAGUGGAUAGAAGCAGAGCCACUGGCCACCAUCACUGCACAAAGAAGUCGGAGGUUCCUCUACAAAAAUAUAAUUACAAGGUAUGGGAUACCUUAUUCCAUUACCACGGAUAACGGAACUAACUAAUAAAGAUCUUUUUUUUUAAAUAUCUCUUUUAAAUUCCCUUUUUUAUUCUCUUUCUACGAAACGCGCCGAUUUAAGCUCGACAAAACGUGAAAAUCCCAUGAACCGACCUAGAUGGUCGUCAGGAUAAAACGACGAGGUACAAGUCGGCGUAAAGAGGUUAUAGAAGUCGAUCAUGAUAAACUCGGGAGCAGUCCGACUCAUAAGUCAGAAUGCGAAACCGAGUAAAAUUAAAAUGAAUCGCAAAAGUAGCCUAAGUCACGAAAAGCUCAAUAAAACGAAAUUGAGUACUAGGAAUAAUAAAAAGAGAUAAGAAAAACUAAGAAAAAUUGUAAAGCUGCCUUGAAGAUCAAAGAAGAUUCAGAAAAGUGGGAAAGCCCCAAAGAAAAGGUUUUUCUAGAAAAGAUCAAAGAAUCAAAAGAACCACGAACAGAAAAAGCAUGCGCGCAUAAGGUAACUCAAAACCCUUAUCCAAAAAGGGCAUUUAUUUAACGCUAAAUUAAACCCUUAUUAAAAAAGGGCAUCAUAAAUUGUUUUGUUUACGGCCUUAAAAGGCCAAAAAACUGUUCAAAACACCAACAAAUAAAUAUAAAGAGUUUAAAAAGAGGGGCCCACAGGCCGGGCCCCAAUAGCCAAAAUCACUUUUUAAGAGGAUCACCACC
rnacentral:lncRNA from 1 species